rnacentral:lncRNA from 1 species
AAACCCAUGGGUCAUGGAAAUGAAGAGUCAUGACACAUUAGGGUUUACAUGGUGUAACCCUAGAUGUGUCAACACUAUAUAAGAGUCCCAUUCUCCACCAAAAUCGGCUACACAUAAGAAACUAGAGGGCUAGGCCGAUUUCAAGAAGUGUGUAUUCUCUCAAAAGUCUUUCCAAGAGCAUUUGGUGUUGUGUGAAGCAUUUGAGGCAUCACACUUGGGGUGCUAGGCUCACAAGGUUUCAAGGAACAUAAACAACAACAAGGUAAGUUAUUCUAUCUUUCAUUCAAGUUAGAAAUUGUUCCCCAUGUAUGCUAGAUAGAAAUAUAACCUUGGAAUUCAACUUUGCAUGAUAAUUAGACAAACAUAGAUCCAAGGUUAUUAGGGUUGCAUGUACACUUAGGAAGUGUUAGAAUGCUCAAAACCCAUCAGUGGUAUCAGAGCCUAGGCUUGUUUGUUUGUUAUUUGUGCUUAAAAGUUGAAGAAAGUCGAAAAUCUUGCUGUCUGACUGAUGGACUCGGCGAGUCCAUGGGGAGGACUCGUCGAGUUCAUGUGUAUCUUCAACCUACUCGGCGAGUAGGUUUAUGCACUCGGCGAGUAGGGUCGACAGAGUGCAGAAUUUCGACUUGAGUUGCUGGAAAUGGAUUAGAAUCAUUACCCUAAAAUGUUUUGGUACUUGAAAACUUAUUUUAGAAGGUGUAAUGUCUUUUCUAACUCAUUUACAACAACUAGUUAUCAAAAUUACAAAGAUUAAAUGUGAUUUUGAUUCUUGAAAGUGUUCAUAUUCAUAUUCUUGUUCUUAUGAUGUUUAGAUGAUCAUAGGAAUUAUUUGUAACCUAUGUGGUAGAUUAAUUCAUGAUCAUAAUGUGUUUUAAUGGAGUCCAUAACUUGUCCUCAAGUUAUGGAAAACCAAAAGUCUCUUGGAUUAAAAANNNNNNNNNNNNNNNNNNNNNNNNNNNNNNNNNNNNNNNNNNNNNNNNNNNNNNNNNNNNNNNNNNUUCAUGUUCUUGAUCUUAUGAUGUUUAGAUGAUCAUAGGAAUUAUUUGUAACCUAUGUGGUAGUUUAAUUCUUGAUCAUAAUGUGUUUUAAUGGAGUCCAUAACUUGUCCUCAAGUUAUGGAAAACCAAAAGUCACUUGAGUUAAAACCAUUAAAAGAACACAAGAGUUAGAAAAAUGAAGAGUCUUCAUUUUAUUACUCUAAUAAACUCAUAAGUUACAAGAAAUGAAAAGUUUUGAAAGUUUACAAAACUUGCCCUCAAGUUUUGGAACAAGUAAAGUCAUGUGAAAAACUUUAGUUCCAACCCUUAGAAUUUUAAAAGUUAAAAUUCAACCCUUAUACUUAUAUUAUUAUGAUUUAAUAAUUAUAUAUAUGUAUAAGAACAAAGUCGUCUUACCGCUAGUGCGCCUCAUUCACAAAGUUGGUCUAUAAGGUGGGUAUAAGGUUGUUGCCUAUAAAAUGGCAACUUAAUGGGUGUCCACUCUCACCACCGCUUGCUUGACCGGUGGAGGGUCGUUAGCCGAACGGGUAAGACAAGGACUUAUAUAUUCUCAUCAAAAGUAUGAUGAAUAUUAUAAAGUAACCGCUUGCUUGACCGGUGAAUAAGAUACUAAUCCAUGAAAUUACACUUUACACUUUGUUUAAGUCGUUGGNNNNNNNNNNNNNNNNNNNNNNNNNNNNNNNNNNNNNNNNNNNNNNNNNNNNNNNNNNNNNNNNNNNNNNNNNNNNNNNNNNNNNNNNNNNNNNNNNNNNNNNNNNNNNNNNNNNNNNNNNNNNNNNNNNNNNNNNNNNNNNNNNNNNNNNNNNNNNNNNNNNNNNNNNNNNNNNNNNNNNNNNNNNNNNNNNNNNNNNNNNNNNNNNNNNNNNNNNNNNNNNNNNNNNNNNNNNNNNNNNNNNNNNNNNNNNNNNNNNNNNNNNNNNNNNNNNNNNNNNNNNNNNNNNNNNNNNNNNNNNNNNNNNNNNNNNNNNNNNNNNNNNNNNNNNNNNNNNNNNNNNNNNNNNNNNNNNNNNNNNNNNNNNNNNNNNNNNNNNNNNNNNNNNNNNNNNNNNNNNNNNNNNNNNNNNNNNNNNNNNNNNNNNNNNNNNNNNNNNNNNNNNNNNNNNNNNNNNNNNNNNNNNNNNNNNNNNNNNNNNNNNNNNNNNNNNNNNNNNNNNNNNNNNNNNNNNNNNNNNNNNNNNNNNNNNNNNNNNNNNNNNNNNNNNNNNNNNNNNNNNNNNNNNNNNNNNNNNNNNNNNNNNNNNNNNNNNNNNNNNNNNNNNNNNNNNNNNNNNNNNNNNNNNNNNNNNNNNNNNNNNNNNNNNNNNNNNNNNNNNNNNNNNNNNNNNNNNNNNNNNNNNNNNNNNNNNNNNNNNNNNNNNNNNNNNNNNNNNNNNNNNNNNNNNNNNNNNNNNNNNNNNNNNNNNNNNNNNNNNNNNNNNNNNNNNNNNNNNNNNNNNNNNNNNNNNNNNNNNNNNNNNNNNNNNNNNNNNNNNNNNNNNNNNNNNNNNNNNNNNNNNNNNNNNNNNNNNNNNNNNNNNNNNNNNNNNNNNNNNNNNNNNNNNNNNNNNNNNNNNNNNNNNNNNNNNNNNNNNNNNNNNNNNNNNNNNNNNNNNNNNNNNNNNNNNNNNNNNNNNNNNNNNNNNNNNNNNNNNNNNNNNNNNNNNNNNNNNNNNGUUUCAUCAAGUCCUAGUGGCUCAUGGGAUGCUUGAAGAUGAACCCAAAGGGAAUCAAGAGGGAGCACACGGCAUCGGACAUGACGAAUACACGGACACCGACUAUGAGUUUGAGGAGACUGAUGAGGAUAUAGAGGAAGGACAAGACUCGGACGAAGAUCACGUCACGUCGUUUGUUAGCGAGGCGCAGCAGGACCACCCAGCCCCACCAGUGAUCCCCGUAAGGGAGAAUCGCUCCCCCGAAGCUGAGAUUGCCGCCCUGCGGCAACAGUUGUUCGCCAUGGAAGCACGUGCAGUGCGAGCUGAGCAUGAGAUGGAUGAGGUCAUUGGAGACAUGGCNAUGGCUCAGUUGUUGGCUCAAAACUUCGGCAUAUGAUUUCCCCCCCCCCCCCUUUAGGAUACUCCGUGGAGUACUAGGAAUAGUAGUAUCAGUCUCUAGCACUAUGUCAUUAGGAGCUAUGCUAUGUACCCCGACUCUAUGUUUAAGUAACUACACUACUCAUAGAGCCGUUAUGCUGUCGAACUAAUAUCACUUGUGUAUGCUCUUUCGAGCAAAAUUUUCAUGUAUCAAAUGUGGAUAAUAUUAGUGAACUUUUAUGUGUUUUAUUAUGACAUUAUAAACUGCUAUGUGUUGCGAAUCCAUGAUUGUAUGCUAAUUUGUAGAAGUACUUAAGUUCGUACCAUGCACCUAGUCGGUAGGAUCACAACCUCACGGAAAGNAUGUGUUGCGAAUCCAUGAUUGUAUGCUAAUUUGUAGAAGUACAUAAGUUCGUACCAUGCACAUAGUUGGUAGGAUCACAACCUCACAGAAACCACAUACACUCAACAUCUUUCCGUUUCAUGACAGAAAUAUGCCUCGCCGACCUACUCGCAGAAACCCUGGACCAACCCCACUCGAAGUUGACUCCACUGCAUUCCAGCCAGCCGUAUCUGCUGCGGUCACCGCAGCAAUGGCCCAAAUUCACCAAGGGAACAACGGAGGAGGCAACGGACAAGGUGCCGGGAGUUCGAACAACGAAAUGAAUCAAGGACGNCUGCGGUCACCGCAACAAUGGCACAAAUUCACCAAGGGAACAACGGAUGAUGCAACGGACAAGGGGUCGGGAGUUCGAACAACGGAAUGAAUCACGGACCCACCAAAACAUGUNGAGGAGGCAACGGACAAGGGGUCGGGAGUUCGAACAACGGAAUGAAUCAAGGACCCACCAAAACAUGUACCUACAAGGACUUCACAAACGCCAAACCACGAACCUUUAACGGCACUGGAGAAGUGAUCACCCUGAAACAAUGGAUCGAAAACUUGGAAUCUGUGUUCGAGAUAUGUGAUUGCCCUGAAGAGAUGAAGGUGAAGUUUGCUGCAUGCACUUUUGUCGACCAAGCGCUCAUGUGGUGGAACGGACACGUGGAAGCCAUGACACUCCCCGUAGCCAAUUCCAUGCCAUGGAUAAAAAUGAAAGAAAUGCCGAUGGCCGAAUACUGCCCUCGUGGUGAAUUUCAGAAAAUGGAGCAAGAGCUCUGGAAACUCACUGUCAGGAAUGUUGAUAUAGAUGCCUACAUAUCAAGGUUUAGCGAACUAUCUCUGUUAUGUCCUGGCAUGAUCACCUCGGAAGUAAAGAAGAUCGAGCGAUUCAUCUGGGGACUAACCUCUCUGAUCCAAGGAAACGUGAUAGCUGCAAAUCCCGAAACUUUCGACAGCGACAAGAGAUUGGCCAAGAAGUUUUAUGACCACAACAACAAGAAGGAUGAGAAGCCAGCGGAGGUUGAAGCCAAGAAGGAAGGUGAUGGCAAGAAGGGGAAGAACAACAAGAGAAAGGGGCAUCAAGGCUCCGAGACAUCCAAGAAGCAGCAGACAGUGACAGUUAAUGCUGCCACCGCACAAGUUCCGGCCACACCACAUGCUCCAGCCUCAGCUGCUCCAAAUGCUCCUAGACCUUAUUCCGGCAAUCUUCCCAAGUGCAACAAGUGUGGUUUCCAUCACAAUGGAGAAUGCAAGGAGCUGCAGUGCACCAGUUGCAAUCGGAAGGGGCACACGGCAAGGUAUUGUAGGACUUACCCCCCCAAAAUCAUCAACAGGGAAGCAACAACAACAACAACCGCAACAACAACAACAUCAACACCAGCGGCAACAAUGCAGGACCUAGCCACACCUGCUAUGGGUGUGGAAGGACUGGGCAUUUCUGUCGAGAUUGCCCUAACAACAACAAUCCCAGAAAUGGAGGAACUGGAAGGGUAUUGACCAUGGGUCAGGGGGAGGCGAUUUAGGAUCCCGCUGUUGUUACCGGUACGUUUCCCUUAAACCACACUUAUGCAUGCAUCCUAUUUGACACCGGAGCAGUGCGAAGUUUUGUGAGCAAUAAGUUUAAACAUUUGUUAAAAUAACAACCCCAGAAGCUCAAUGAAACCUGUACGGUGGAAAUCGCCAAUGGGAAAACCGAAUCCACUGGGGAAAUCUACAUCGGAUGUACCCUAACCUUAAAUCAACACGUCUUUCGAAUAGACUUAAUGCAUGUUUCCAUUAGGAGUUUCGAUGUGAUUAUUGGCAUGGACUAGUUAAACCCCCACCAUGCUGAAAUUAUGUGUCACGAGAAGGCCGUUCGCCUUCACCUUCCUAAUCACAAAACCUUAGUUAUUUACGGAGACAAACCUAGCACAAACCUUCGUCUCAUCUCGUGCGUCCAGGCACAGAAGCACCUACGAAAGAAAGAUUUGAUGUUCUUGGCUUACAUAGUGGAUAAAGCCAAGGAGGAGGUUAACAUUCAAGACAUUCCAGUAGCACAUGAAUUCCCAUACGUAUUUCCUAAAAAUCUUCUUGGAGUACCCCCAGAGAGACAAGUUGAGUUCCGAAUUGACCUCGUUCCAGGAGAAACUCCUCUCGCUAAAUCGCCCUACCGGCUAGCUUCUGCUGAAAUGCAGGAAUUGUCUAGCCAACUCAGCGAACUCCUGGGCAAGGGAUUCAUCCGACCGAUCUACUCGCCAUGGGGAGCUCUAGUCCUCUAUGUCAAAAAGAAGGACAGAUCUUUUAAAAUGUGCAUCGAUUACAGGAGUUAAAUAAACUCACCGUAAAAAAUCGCUAUCCAGUCCCACGAAUCGACGAUCUAUUUGACUAGUUCCAAGGAGCUAGUUACUUCUCUAAGAUAGAUCUACGGUCCGUGUACCAUCAACUCAAGGUCCGGGAAGAGGAUAUUCCUAAAACUGCUUUCCGAACUCGUUAUGGACAUUAUGAAUUUGUCGUAAUGGCCUUCGGUCUAACAAAUGCCCCUGCUGCAUUUAUGGACCUGUUGAACCGAAUUUGUCGACCAUUCCUCGACAUCGUCUUCAUUGACGACAUUCUCGUCUAUUCCCGAAGCGAGGAAGAGCAUGGCCAACAUCUCCGACAAAUCCUAGAAACCCUGUGAAUGGAAAAUCUAUACGCAAAACUCUCCAAGUGUGAGUUCUGGCUCCGUAGCGUGAACUUCCUAGGUCAUGUUGUUAGUCAAGAAGGAAUUCAUGUGGAUCCUUCUAAGGUCAAAGCCGUUGAAGGAUGGGCAGUCCCGACAACACCCACAGAAAUUCGUCAAUUCUUAGGCCUAGCAGGCUACUAUAGGAGGUUCAUUCAAAACUUCUCUAAGAUCGCCAAGCCACUUACCUCGCUUACACAAAAGGGCAUACCAUUCAAACGGACAGACAAACAAGAAGUUGCAUUCCGAACCCUGAAGCAAGUCAUCUACAUAUCUCUACCAGAGGGAACGAAAGAUUUCGUGGUUUACUGUGACGCGUCGAAUCAGGGAUUAGGUUGCGUUCUCAUGCAACGUGGAAGAGUGAUAGCUUACGCAUCCUGCCAACUAAAGACACACGAAGUGAAUUAUAUGACCCAUGACCUAGAAUUGGGAGCCGUGGUCUUUGCUCUGAGGAUUUGGAGGCAUUACCUUUAUGGUACGAAGUGCACCAUAUUCACAGACCACAAGAGUCUCCAGCACAUCUUGAAUCAGAAUGAGCUGAAUAUGAGGCAACGAAGAUGGGCUGAAUUAUUAAAUGAUUACGAGUGCGAAAUCAAGUAUCUCCCGGGCAAGGCCAAUGUGGUAGCUGAUGCAUUGAGCCGGAAGGAGUACUCUAAUCGUCGUGCAAAAACUCUCUCAAUAACCAUCCAAUCUCACCUAACCACUCAGAUCGGGGUAGCCCAGUCAGAUUCCAUGAAGACGAAAAACAGAGCAAGCGAAGCAUUACGCGGAAUGGAGAAGAAUCUAGAGGUAAGAGAGGACGGAGUAUACUAUUUCAUGAACCGUAUUUGGGUCCCUAAACUCGGAGGUUUUAGGGAGGUAUUCAUGAAUGAAGCUCACAAGACGCAAUACUCCAUCAAUCCAGGUUCGGACAAGAUGUAUUUGGAUAUUAAACAACAUUAUUGGUGGCCUAACAUGAAGGCAGAAAUUGCCACCUAUGUCAGUAAAUGCCUUAAUUGUGCCAAAGUAAAGGUAGAGUGCCAGAAGCCCUCGGGGUUAUUACAGCAACCGGUGAUCCCUGAGUGGAAAUGGGAAGGGAUUUCUAUGGAUUUUGCGACCAAGCUACCCAAGACGUCGGAUGUAUUAGACACCAUAUGGGUAAUAGUUGACCGACUGGCGAAAUCCGCUCAUUUCCUGCCAAUAAAAGAAUCCUACAAGAUGGAGAGACUGACACGAUUAUACAUUCGAGAAAUCAUGAGACUUCAUGGAGUACCAGUCUCUAUUAUCUCGGAUAGAGACAGUAGAUUCACUUCACGUUUUUGGCAAUCACUUCAGAAAGCACUUGGAACCCAUCUCGACAUGAGCACCGCUUAUCACCCACAAACGGACGGUCAAAGCGAACGAACCAUUCAGACGCUCGAAGACAUGAUUUGCGCAUGUGUGAUAGAUUUUGGGAAGUCUUGGGACACCCACUUACCCUUAGUUGAAUUCUCGUAUAACAACAGUUACCAUUCGAGCAUCAAAGUCGCUCCUUUCGAAGCUCUAUAUAGAUAUAAGUGUAGAUCACUGUUGUGUUGGGCUGAGGUGGGCGACACCCAGCUAGCAAAUAAACUGGCAUUGGACAAGGCGUUAACGGGACCGGAGAUCAUUCGUGAAACCACAGAAAAGAUAGUUCAAAUUAGAGCUCGAUUACAAGCAUCGCGCGAUUGACAAAAGAGCUACGCUGAUAAACAGCGAAAGCCCUUAGAGUUUCAGGUCGGGGAUCGAGUGCUGUUAAAAGUUUAACCUUGGAAAGGGGUCAUUCGUUUCGGAAAAAUGGGAAAACUGAACCCACGAUACAUUGGACCUUUCGAGAUCGUUUCCCGAAUAGGUCCAGUGGCAUACAAACUGCAGCUACCUGCGGAGCUAAACAGUGUACACCCCGUGUUCCAUGUCUCCAAUCUUAAGAAGUGCCUAUCAUAUGAUACACUCGUCAUUCCCCUUGACGAGAUUGAAAUCAACGAGAAUCUCCUGUUCGUUGAAGAACCGGUUAAAAUCAUGGACAGGGAGGUCAAGCGUACUAAGCAAAGUCGCAUCCUGAUCGUGACAGUACGGUGGAACGCGAAGCAUGGGCCAGAAUUCACGUGGGAACGCGAAGACCAAAUGAAGCAAACGUACNCAAAUGAAGCAAAAGUACCCUCACCUAUUCUAGCAUUCUCAAAUCUAGCUUUCAAAAGAAUUUCGGAACGAAAUUCCCUCUAACGGGGGGAUGAUGUCACAACUAGAAUUUUUUGUGCCUUGUAACUACAACACUUAAGUCAAAUUAUGAAUCAAAGACAUAAGAACAUGUAUGAUGCAUACUCCAUGACAACAAAAUUUUAAUCAAACACUUCAUACAAGCACUACAAAUAGUCAACAAGUAAUUGGAAACCCUAUGAGUUCUUGUUUAAGUCCAUUUUGGACUAGGACUUCCUUAUUGGGCCAAAUGGACCAAUCAGCUUCCAAUUUGACCAUCUUGGGCUUAAAACUCUUAAAUGGGCUCUAAUUAGACCCACUUCCAUUUAUUUUAAUAUUUUGGGCCAUAUUGGGCCUAAAAUAAAAUAAAUUAAUUAUAAGAACCAUUUUGGGCCAUAAUUAACCUAAUUUAGCCCUAAUAGGUCAUAAAAAUCACAUUUAUAUUUUUUUAGGACCAAAAAUCAUCUAACUUAACUAUAAUGUGGGCUUAGGAACAAUAAGCCCAAAAAUCUCCUCUUUCCCCCUCUCCAUUCUCGGCCCAAGCCCAUAAAGAGGGAGAGUUGACUUUGUUGGGUGCCACCUAACAAUUAUUAAAGGGAUUUCCAUGCAAGAUGACCCAUACAUCCAUGCAUUCCCAUACAUCCAUGCAAGCCAUCUCUUCUUCUCCCUCUCUCUCUCUUGCUCUCGGCCGAGUCCAAGCACACACAUACACACAUUUCACUCUCCAUUCUCUCAAGAAACUCUCUCAUAUCUCCUCCAUAUUUUCGAGAUCUAAGAAGUGUUCAAGGGGAUUCAUACACAAAAAUCACCAUCUAAGGUAAGAAAUUUCUUAGAUCCUUAAGCUAGCUACUUCCUUUCAUCCAAAAAUCACCUCUUAAUUCAUUCAAACUCAUGAUCUAGCACCUAAGAAGCAUCCAAGUUCGAAAUCUUCCAAGGAAGGUUGCUAAGGCCAAAUUUCUUCUCAUUUUUCCUUCCCAAAACCGAAACCACACCCAAGGUAAGCUUUAUACCCCCUAUUUUUCUAUUUUUAUAAGUUUUUGUGGGGGAGAAUACAAGAAAAUGUGUAGAUCUAUGAUUUCAUGUAUGCCUUCUGUGAUUUUAUGCUUGUAUGUAUGAUUUUAUGUGUUAUGUGAUGAAUAUGUUAGCUAAAAAUACCUAAAAACCGAGAUCUACAACAUGAGGAAUGAAAUAAACAUAGCUUAUACCAUUUUACACUAAUCAAGUCAAUAAAAAUAAUUUAUUUGGUUAGGAUGAACAUUUUUGGACAUAAAACCCAUUUUUGGGCUCAAAUUGUUAAAAAUACAAAAGCUAAGGGCCCAAAUCGACAAAUGAUAAUUUCUGGAGGUUGGAAAGAGUCCAAACAGUUUCUAAUAAAAUUUUCCUGAAAAUCAACACUUUUGAGGGGCUUAAAAUGUAAAUUUUGAACAUAAUGGGCUUUUCGGCCCAAUAAUCCCCAAAUUGCGAAAACUCUGAAAUGGAGAGGCUGAAACUGCAAAUUUCUGUAAAACAGGGGAUUACUAGUGUAAUAAAACUAAUUCAAGGGUGAAAAAUGUUUUCAAAGUCAAAAGGGACCAAAAAUGCAAAAAAUUUCCAUUUUGGGCCAAAACUGUAAAGUUGCGAAAAUAAGGGUUUCAACCGAGAAAACUUCAUUUUUGAAGGACUUAAGCUGUUUAUCAAGUAAAUGUGGGCUGAAAAUGUCUUUUCAACAAGUUUUGAUACUAAAGUCUCAAGAAAAAUGGUUUAUGGACUAAAAUGGAAAUUCUUUUAUAUAAAGGGUUAAAAGUGUAAAUUUUACCCAAGAAGGGGCAUGAAAAGGUAAACUCUAAUGUUUAAAACAAUAAAUCCCUUAAGAUAAAAUACGGGUACCAUGGCUACCGGCGAAACGUAAUAGCAAAUACACUUUCAACACCAAUAUCGUUACCAAACGAAUUGAUUCGGUCUCGAAUCAAUAACGAAUCAAAAAUCAAUAAACAGUAGUACUUCAAUACACACGCGAAAAUUUUACGAGAAGUCAAUAUUCAAUCUUUGGGCUUGAAAGUUUCAAAUCGUGCUUGUUGGGCCUAGCUAGCCCAAUGACAUGAUCUUUAGGCCCGAAGGGAACACGCUUACAUGAUAUUGGGUCUUCUAUGACCUAAUUCCGUGACAGGACUUUCAAUAAAUUUAUCGUGCUGUUGGUCCCCAAUGGACCAUUGGUACUACUAGCAAAGUCAAGAAGUCAAAUGCGAGUCAGGCCAAGUGCCUUUCGCAUUCACGAUAGCCUUGAAUGACUUAGGGAAAUAACGGGGGCUUCGUACUCUCCUUUCUCCUCGGUUGUGGGGCUAUGAGAAGUCAGGGUGGCUGGAUUAAGUGAGCAGUACAGACGAUGCCUAAGGGAUCGUUUGUAUUUAGUAGUUGUAAACUACUCAUUUUCAUUAAUGCGUGAUUAUAACGACUCACAACCCAUAAUUAAUCCAACGUCACCUAGAAUUAUCGAAAACAAACGUCGUAUCGGUAUAACAAUAAGUAAGACAUGUAAUUUGAUGUAUUAUGAAAACAUCGGGUUUUCCUGGGGAAAUUCAACACUUUCACCUAUGUGAUGUACAUUAUUCACGUUUACAAAAAUCAACAAGAAUACUUACGGAUCUUCACACUUUUUCUUAUAUACAAUACUCUUUUCAGAAAAUAUCGGAUUUUCUGGUGGUUUUCAAAAUUAUACAAAUCAUUUCUUUUCAAACAUUACUUAUGAACUCACCAACAUUUCAUAUGUUGAUGUUUUUCCAAAAUACUUGUAUUCUCAGGUAACAGAUAAAUCAAAGAAAAUGUAUCCAGAGAUGUCAUGAUGUUUUGUUUAAUUAGUAUCAAACGGUUUAUGUUUUGGAAAUGUAAUGUUUUAAAACAAUGUACUGAAUGUAAACAAUAUCGGUUGUAAUAUUUCAAUGCAUGGUGAUGAAUGAUGUUAUGAUUCAUGUAUAAUCAUUGUGAUGGUAUUCAAUUAAGUCACAAUAGCCCUCGGACGUUUCCGCCGUCUGGUUCGGGGGUGUGACAAAAAGUUUGAUCAUAAGAGAAAAGCAAAGUCUGAAGUAGUUCCAUGUGCUGUUUCAAAAAAAAAAAGUCAAUUUGCUUUUAUUGCCAAGAGAAGGGGCAUUGGAGACGAAGCUGCCCUAUUUACCUAAGAGAUCUAAGAGAUGGGAGAAUCAAAACGUAUGGCUCUGCUUUAGGUAAAAUCCAUUAACUAACUCUUUUAUGUUCCUAUUCUAGAUUCUUAAUACAUGAUGUGAUAAGAUUACGAUUGAUGUUUUAUAGGAUCAAAGAAAAGCGGAGGAAGCUUAAGGGAAGAAGUGAGCGGAAUCUAAUCGUGAAGAAAUGGAUUUCGAUCGCAUUACUUGAAGAUUGGAUUCUAGAGCUACUACUUAGAGUUAGAAAAGAUUGCUAAGAAAUACGUAUUAACAUAGCUUUUCGAUGAAUUGCAUUGUACGGACAAAUUUUUCCAUAAUAAAAUAAAAUUUUGUUUUAUAUUAUUUAUUUAUCCUUACAAUGGCAUACAUGAAAAAAAAUUUGAUGUUUGAAGAUUUCUAUUAUUAGCAAUAAUGGAUUUGAUUCUUAAUUAUGUUAUUUGUGGAAAUGUCGAGAAUUUACCAAAUAGAGAGUUUCUCAUCGUCCAAGUUUCAAUUGGACAGAAACUUGGAAUCAUGCAACGUGUAUGAUGAAUGAAAAACUUUCAUAUUUGGAAAUUAGACUAGUUCGUUGACAAAGUGUCAAGUGAAGGACUAAGAGAUCGAGUACACAAAGUUGUGUGUUGAUCAAGUACACCACAAGAGUAAUAAAAAAUAUUCGUCGUGAUUUACUAAAAGUUUAGUAAAUAUAAUUAUACUUAUAAGAUUAAGUGUAAUUCUGAAUUGAUUGAAAAAGUUUAAAUCACUAGCAGAACCAAUAAGAAGAAUCAAGAAGGCAGNAAAGAUAAAAGUUUCUCCAUUCUAAGAAGAAGGGAGAGUACCUUUUAUGCUUUAUGAUAGGUCUUAAUGAUUAAGAACCAUAUCUCAAUUGAUCCUCUAAGUGAGUCUUAGUACAAUUGUAUGUCUAAGAAGAGGAAUCAAGAAUUGAAGAAAUGGUUAAAUCAAGAAGUCAAUCCUACUUCGUUCCAAAACAAGUCUUAGAGUUAAGAUUGUGAAAGUGAGUGAUAAGUAUUAAGAAGGUUUAUAACAUUCAUCAAAUAUGGAAAGUUGUGAUGUAUCGGAUAAGACAAAGACCAACUAGGACCAUGUAAACCCUAAUUGUCAUCAUAGUCCCCGAUUUUUUUGGAAGAAUAAGAUGCUUAUAUAGUGUGUCACAAUUAGGGUUACACCAUGUAAACCCUAAUUGUCAUGGCCUUUCAUUUCCAUGAUGCAUGGGUACAAAAACACCAUGGAGCAUCAAUGGAGCAUCCUAUGGGUUUCAGCCCAACUUGAUAGUAUAUGGAGCAUUAGCCCACAAUAUUGUUGGAUUAGUGUCUAAGUCCAUAACUAUUUUGGUAUGUACUUGACCUGAUGGUUCAUGGUCCUUUUGGGUUGCCUUCACCAAAGCAACUUGAUAGGAUGAAUAAAGAGAAAGGAUUAAAUAUGAUUUGUUAAUAUAUUAUGAGAAUAAGAUAUUAAAGGAGAAAUCAUAUUGUUUAAUUAAUAUUAGUCAAGAAUUAAUAAGAAUUAAGUUUGUAACUAAAAGAGAUUAAUUAAACUUAAGGGACUGGAAUUGUAAUUAUAAGAUAAUUGCAAUUGGGCUAUGGAUUGCCUUAUAUUAUAAGGUUGGACGAAUUCUAUGGGGAAACCCAUUGGAAAUCGUCCAAGGCCUUUAAGGAAAGGAGUCCAUGGGUUGCUUAGGGCUUAAGCAUCCAAAUUAGGGUUUCCUUGUUAGAUAACCCUAAUAGCCUCACUAUAUAUAGAGCCCUUAUGCCCCAAAAACGUGGACAAGCUUCAUUCUAGGGUUUCCACACGUUUUGGGCAGCCUCCUUCUCUUCUCCUCUUCAUCCUCUUGCUCUUGGUGUUUGUGAACCAUUAGAGGAGUGACAUUUGUGACUCUAAGCUUUCUAAAGUCAAUACAAGAAGGAAUUGUGAUUGUUAUUGCUACAUAACAAUCAAGGUAAUAUCUUAAACCCAUUCUUAUGUUAAUAUGAUUACUUGUAUGCUAGAAUUAGGGUUUAUAGUAUUGGAUAACUUGCAUGUACAAUAGAGAAACCUAGAUCCAAGCAUUAGGGUUUGUAUGAGCACAUAGGAUGUUCUUAUGACCAAAACCCAUCAGUGGUAUCAGAGCCUUGAUUGGUUUCUAUUGUAUUGAUGCCUUGUAUGUUUGUUCAAGUUGAAAAAUUUGAUUUUUGUGAAACUGCCUGAUGAACUCGGCGAGUCCCAUUGUGGACUCGGCGAGUAGGCCCCUACUCGGCGAGUCCAUAUGGGUACUCGGCGAGUUCGAGCGUCAGAAAGAGGGGAUUUCGGGAUUUCUUGCUGUUUUUCUCAUGGAUACUUGCCUUAUCUGUUUUAGAUCAUUAAAAUCCGAUUUUAUUCAUAUUUUUGAGUAUAUCCUUGAUUAAACAAAAGAUAAUUACCAAUUGAUUAGAUAAUAACUUCCUUAUAUGAUUAAAGUUGAUUAUUUGUAUUAAUUGGGUAACUUAUUUUGCAAGAAAUUGAAAUUAGGUCAAAUAUAGAUAAUGAUGAAAUUAAUUGUUUAAUUUAUAUUAUUUGUUAUUUGAUCCUUGUGUUAUGAAAAGUUUCAAUUUUCCCCUUUAGGUUUUAUAGUUUAAAUUUGAACUCAAAAGUUUAGUUUUGAAAUUUAAAUAGUUGAAACCCUAAUGUUUUGAAAAGGGUUUCAAAACUUGUCCUCAAGUUUUGGAAUUUAAAUUUUGAUUAAAAGUUUAAUUUUGAUGUAUAUUUAAAUUCUAAACCCUAAUGUUUUGAAAUGUUUCAAAACUUGCCCUCAAGUUUUGGAAUUUAAAAGUUGAUUAAAAGUUUAAUUUAGGAAUGUUAAAUUCUAAAACCCUAGUAUUGUUUUGAAAAGUUCAAAUCACACCCUUAUGGUUUUAUUAAUUAAUUAAGGUGUAUAAUUAAAAGAGGUUUAAUAAAUCCAUAAAAGUUUAGGUUUACAAUUUAAUUGAAUUAAAAGUAUAAUUGUUAAAUUUGACCUCCUAGUAUUUUAAAAGUGUAAAAUACACCCUAUACUAUAUAUAACAUUAAAAGUCUAACAUUAUAUAUAUGUAUGAGUAAAAGUCAGUCUUACCGUUAGUAGGCCUCAUUCACGAAGCUGGUCUAUAAGGGGUGUUUAAGGAAAUUGCCUAUAAAAUGGCGAUUGAAUGGGUAUCCACUCUUACCCACCGCACUCUUGACUAGUGGAGGGUCGUUAGCCGAACGGGUAGGAUAGGACAAAACCUUCCAUUAUAAGUAUAAUGAAGUACAAAAGUAACUAAAUGUUUUACAAAUUCCCAAUCUUAGUUACUUAGGCAAAAGUGAAUUGAUGCAAUUCCAUGAAAUUACACUUUGUGCCCUUGCGAAGACGUUAGUGGAGCGUGUGUGGUUUACCGGCACACUAAAUGGUUCUAAGCAAAGGUAGCAAAGGGUGACUCAAUGUUUGUCAUAGUUCGGUGGAGCGUGUGUGGUUUACCGGCACAUCGAAUAGGUGACUGUAACAUGUGAGGGCACCAUGUAAGUUUGCAUGGUUAUUCACACCCGCUUUGUGAUCCUCGGCAUCCCAGUCACAAACUAGAAGGGCAUAUCGAGAUUUAAACAUGCCAUUGAAAUGUUCAAUGAAUCUCAAAGGGUCUAGGAGUUUUCAUAGAUUUAAAACUUUAAUUUAUUUUUCGUUUUUCAUGGUGGAAAUUAGUGAAUCGUCAUUCAUUUACCUUCAAAUGUUCUGCAAUUUGGGUUACGACAUCCCUCUCCCGAGUUGUAGAAUAUUGUGUUGGGUCCUAGCCUUAGUAUCUCAUUUGGGUGAUUUACUAAGGACUCAAUCAAUCAACUAACUUGAAUUUGUUUUUCUCCCGUUUUGUAGAUGUCAAAGUUCGACAACUAUGGUCUUCCCAAAUCCCGUGGAACAAGCAUUCCACAUGAAGAUGGUAUUCCACGAUUCAAUCGAGGAACGAGAAAUCAUGCUUCACUUCCUCCUCCUCCUCNNNNNNNNNNNNNNNNNNNNNNNNNNNNNNNNNNNNNNNNNNNNNNNNNNNNNNNNNNNNNNNNNNNNNNNNNNNNNNNNNNNNNNNNNNNNNNNNNNNNNNNNNNNNNNNNNNNNNNNNNNNNNNNNNNNNNNNNNNNNNNNNNNNNNNNNNNNNNNNNNNNNNNNNNNNNNNNNNNNNNNNNNNNNNNNNNNNNNNNNNNNNNNNNNNNNNNNNNNNNNNNNNNNNNNNNNNNNNNNNNNNNNNNNNNNNNNNNNNNNNNNNNNNNNNNNNNNNNNNNNNNNNNNNNNNNNNNNNNNNNNNNNNNNNNNNNNNNNNNNNNNNNNNNNNNNNNNNNNNNNNNNNNNNNNNNNNNNNNNNNNNNNNNNNNNNNNNNNNNNNNNNNNNNNNNNNNNNNNNNNNNNNNNNNNNNNNNNNNNNNNNNNNNNNNNNNNNNNNNNNNNNNNNNNNNNNNNNNNNNNNNNNNNNNNNNNNNNNNNNNNNNNNNNNNNNNNNNNNNNNNNNNNNNNNNNNNNNNNNNNNNNNNNNNNNNNNNNNNNNNNNNNNNNNNNNNNNNNNNNNNNNNNNNNNNNNNNNNNNNNNNNNNNNNNNNNNNNNNNNNNNNNNNNNNNNNNNNNNNNNNNNNNNNNNNNNNNNNNNNNNNNNNNNNNNNNNNNNNNNNNNNNNNNNNNNNNNNNNNNNNNNNNNNNNNNNNNNNNNNNNNNNNNNNNNNNNNNNNNNNNNNNNNNNNNNNNNNNNNNNNNNNNNNNNNNNNNNNNNNNNNNNNNNNNNNNNNNNNNNNNNNNNNNNNNNNNNNNNNNNNNNNNNNNNNNNNNNNNNNNNNNNNNNNNNNNNNNNNNNNNNNNNNNNNNNNNNNNNNNNNNNNCUACUUAGAGUUAGAAUUAGAUUGCUAAGAAAGAUGUAUUAGCAUAGUUUUUCAAUGAAUUGCAUUGUAAGGACAAAUUUUUCCUCAAUAAAAUAGAUUUUGAUUUUAUAUUAUUUAUUUAUCCUUGCAAUGGCGUGUAUGAAAAAAAAUUGAUGUUUGAAUGUUUCUAUUAUUAUGCAAAUGUCAAGAAUUUACCAAAUAGGGAGAGUUUCUCAUCGCCCAAGUUGCAAUUGGACAGAAACUUAGAAUCAUGCAACUUGGUUGCACGAUGAAUGAGAAAUUCCAUAUUUGGAAAUGACAAAGUGUCAAGUGAAGGACUAGGAAAUCGAGUACACAAAGUUGCGUGUUGAUCAAGUCCACCAUAUGAGUAACAAGAUAUUCGUAAUGAUUUACUAAAGGUUUAGUAAAUAUGAUUAUACUUAUAAGACUAAGUGUAAUUCUGAAUUGAUUGAAAAGGUUUAAAUCGAUAGCAGUACGAAUAAGAAGAAUCUGGUAGGCAGAAAGAUAAAAGUUUCUCCAUUCUAAGAAGAAGGGAGAGUACCUUUUAUGCUUUAUGAUAGGUCUUAAUGAUUAAGAACCAUAUCUCAAUUGAUCCUCUAAAUGAGUCUUAGUACAAUUGUAUGUCUGAGAAGAGGAAUCAAGAAUUGAAGAAAUGGUUAAAUCAAGAAGUCAAUCAUACUUCGUUCCAAAACAAGUCUUAGAGUUAAGAUUGUGACAUUGAGUGACAAGUCUUAAGAAGGUUUAUAACAUUCAUCAAAUGUGGAAAGUUGUGAUGUCUUGGAUAAGACAAAGACCAACUAGGACCAAUUUUAUGAAGUGUUCUGUCUUGAUAAAAGCUACACUAACUCUUGAAUAUUUGUUUGUCAAGAAAUGUUUAUUGACAAGAGAAUCUUAUAUGUCAAGGAGUCAGUGGGAGUCUUAAUGGUCUUGAAAGAGUUCAAGAACAAAUCAAGAAUAAACCUUAUCGAACAUCACUAGCACACGACUUGAGGUUUACAACCUAUCGUGUUGACACUAACAUGUUUCUGUGUCGUUCCAAUUGAGUUAAUUAUGCAUGUGAGUUCUAUGAGUUUUAAUUUGAAUGCAUAAAAGGCAAGGACAUUAAUCAAUGAAAAGUACAUUGAUAAGAAAGGGUGAGCUGCUUAACUACUUGGAAGACAUGGUGGGCACUCGUGUUACCAUAAGGCAAGAAAUCAAGAUUGAGAAAGUUCGGUCCAUAUGAGUUUGAAUUUGUCGCAAACUUUGGUUUUGACAAAUUCACAUGGAUAGGAACACAUACACCAUUAAAAUCUAAGUGUCAUAAGAUUCCCUCCUUCAUGAAAAUGACUGUGAGGAAAUGCUUUCACUAAGAGAGAUUUUAAAAAGAUAGUGACUGUGAAAAUUGGAUUCUCGAAUUCGAUUAUGGUUACGGUAUCCCUUUCCAUGAUUCGAAUUGUGAGAUUUGGCAAUUAGUCUGAAUUGUUUAGACACACAUAUGAGCUAUCUAAGGCAAAGGUGUAUAAGUUUAUGAAGCUUAGAUAAAGGAUUAUCAAAGCAUUAGGUAUUAGAAAUAUGAACUUCAGAAAUUCAAUAAGUAUUGUUUUCUGGAAGUUUAGUUGUUUUCUAAAACAUGUCAAAGCUAGUGGGAGCAUAAGUGUUAUGCUUAUAUGAUAAUAAUCAUCAUGAUAGUGGGAGCAUAAAUGUUGUGCUUGUAUGAUUAUUAAGGCAAGCAUUGCAAGUUGGCAAUAUUAAUUAUAGAAAACAAGAAUUAUACUUUGCCAAGUCGUAAGGAUUGAAUAGUUGUUUUGUUAUAAUUAAGGGAGAGAAUAUUAUGCUUCAUUUCAAAUCUAAAGGCUUAGGUUGUGGAAUGUUAAUAGAUUUAGUCAAGGAUACAUAGUGCGUUCUCAAAAUUUCGACUAUGAUUAUGGCAUCCCUCGUCAUAGUUCGAAUUGUGAGAAUGUGACACGUACGCUUCGGGUAAAGGAUCGAUUACAGAUGCUAUAAUAUUUGACCAUUCUAAAAUUUUCCAAAUGUAUAGCACAUUUAGAAGGAAAAAGGACAAGAAUCGGUUUUGACUAAGAUAAUUAAACAACUAUCAAAGGACGAUCCAAAGUUUGCCGAGGAUUGGUCGCUUGUGAGUAGUUGUAAGUAUAAUAUUGGAUGGACCAUAUCGACAUUAUUAUGAAUAGAUAAGAUUCUAUUAAGAAUGAGUUGUGAUAUGGAAAAUAUGGAAAUGAUUCCAUAUUAGGGGUUGGAUAUUGAGAGUCUGUGUCUAGAUUAGAAAAUUUUAUGCAAAAAGAUGUUCAAGGAAUGUACCUUGAGUGAGAGACAUCACGUCUAUGGAAUUGUAUUGUAACAAUCUCAGAUAGAGGACUUUGUAAUUUCAUUGGCAAUAGUCAUUGUGACUUUUGUAAUAUGACAUUAUGAAAGGAUCAUUGCAUAAAAUGUUAGAAUCUAGCAUAUUCUAUAAGUGGUAAGAAUUUGAUAUUCUUUCACUUGUGAAAAAGGAUUAGGAGUUGUGAAAUGAGUAUGAUUGGAAAUAUGUUCAUUUGAUCUAUUUCACAAAGUAAGAACUGUAGGUAAACAUUGUGUGCAUGCUAAGAGCAUGGGACAAGUGUAGUAAUAAUUCAAGUAAGAAGUUGAUUACCCGAAACAACAAAUAAUGAGUAAUCGAUAUGGUGAUAAAUAAAAGGUGUUUUAUUUAUACUCAAAGGUUUGAGGCCAUAUGGGAUUAGUAUUAUUCUUGUGUUUCACUUUGCAUGUUUUGACUUCCUGAAUAAUUUAAUUGGUUCAGAACAGUCAAAUUAUUCGAACGGGCCACAGUCGUUCAUAUGUUGGAAGUAGGUAUGAAUGAAGACUGUCGUGAAUUGGUGUGUGGAUUGUCUAAAAGUGUAUUAGACAUAAGCAUGUGUUUGCUGCAACGUUCAGGAGUGCUUAUGAUUAUGAUUUGAGCAUUGGAUUAAACCCACGCUCACUUGGAUCACUUCGUGAAUUAUAUCACAAGUGAUUGGUGAGAUGAUACCAUCUUAUAUUCUUGAAACCGAGAUGUGUGAGUUGUAUCUUGCGAAUCGGUUGCACAUUGAUAAUAUGUAAACGCACCAGUAACUUGGUGUUAUAAAACAUAUUGUUGUGUGUAAUUCGGUAAGUGAGUGCAAGCGAGCAUUGAGUCAAAGUUUAUCCGUUCCUUUUAUCCAAAGUAGGAUAAAAGUAAUAUCUUUGGGCCCCUCGAUGAUUUAGUGAUGACACCUAAGCGCUUGGCCGAGGCGAGAAUAAAUUGAUGCUUCAAUUGUAGUCUGUUGUCAGUCGUCAUAAAUUGGAAGUCGGGAAAUAGCAUAGAGGGAAUGAUUAAGUUCAUGUCUCAUAUCUAUACGAUAUUUAGAAUGGAGGAAUAUAUGAUCCCUUAUCUAAAGGACACGCGUAUCUGAUAAGAUCAGAGUUGACAGCGGCUUUAGAAAGCUACGAUUGCAGAUCAGGAUCUGAAGUCAUACGCAGAAUAGUUAUUAGACUUAUCCAAGUGGGAGACUGUUGGAUUAGUGUCUAAGUCCAUAACUAUUUUGGUAUGUACUUGACCCGAUGGUGCAUGGUCCUUUUGGGUUGCCUUCACCAAAGCAACUUGAUAGGAUGAAUUAUGGAGAGAAAGGAUUAAUUAUGAUUUAUUAAUAUAUUAUGAGAAUAAUAUAUUAAAGGAGAAAUCAUAUUGUUUAAUUAAUAUUAGUCAAUAAUUAAUUAGGAAUUAAUUUUGUGGCAAAAAGAGAUUAAUUAAACUUAAGGGACUAGAACUGUCAACUGUAUGAUAGUUGAAUAUUGAGCUAAUGGACUCCAUAUUAAAGGGGUGUAAUUCUAUGGGGAAACCCAUUAGAAAUCGCCCUAGGCCUUUAAGGAUGGAGUCCAUGGGUUGCUUAGGGCCUAAGCAUCCAAAUUAGGGUUUCCUUGUUUGAUAACCCUAAUAGCCUCACUAUUUAAAGAUCCCUAGAGAACCAAAAACGUGUGGAAGGAACUCCUUAGGAUUUUGGACGGUUUUGGGCAGCCUCCUCUCUCCUCAUUCUUCAUCCUCUUGCUCUUGGUGUUUGUAAGCCAUUAGAGGAGUGACACUUGUGACUCUAAGCUUUCUAAAGUCAUUACAAGGAGGAUUUGAGAUUGUUAUUGCUACAUAACAAUCAAGGUAAGUUCUAAAACCCUUUCACAUGUUAAUAUGAUUGAUUGUAUGAUAGAACUAGGGUUUAAAGUCUUGGAUGAAUUGCAUGUACAAUAGAGAAGCCUAGAUCCAAGCAUUAGGGUUUGCAUGAGCACAUAGGAUGUUCUUAUGGCUAAAACUCAUCAUGCUAUUCAUAAAUUAAUACACAUUCUAUCAUAAAAUGCAUACGUCUAAUUAUAAAUAAAUACACUCAUUCACAUGAAUACGCUAAAAUUCAUAAAUACAUACAACCAUUCACACAUGAAUACAUUGCUAUUCAUAAAUAAUUACACAUUCUAUCAUAAACAAGUACAAUACCCUUAUUUAACAGAACAUGCAAAAACCUUCAUAAAUCUAAAUUUGAAACCUUUCAUCAAACAAUCCCUUCACAUCUUCAGAAAAACAUUUCUCUCUUUCAUCCUUAUAAACCUCGUCAUCUUUUGAAUUAAAGGAAGCAUCAGUCUCAGAGCAGCUUGAAAUGUAUUCAGAUUGAAGGAAGAACAAUUUCAUUUUCCUGUGUCGUUUAAGAUGGAUGUCCGAUUGCAAUCUUAAGAGAAAGGUGGAAUGAUUUCAUCUUCGGAAAUAAUGAAUCUGAGUUCUGGAAACAAUAAUGUGGGUGUGAGAUUAUAUCUUAAGAACUUUAGAUUGUUUGACAAUAAAAUAAGUGAACAAAAGGUUAAUACAACCUUUAUUUAAUUGUCUUUCAAAAGUACAGGAUGUCCAAAUUCAUCCAUGAAUCAUCCAAAGGCAAGUUUAAUUGGUUAAACCACUCCAACCAUCAAACUAAACCAAACGACCAAGAAUUGAUGCUACAAUUGAAAUGAAACAAGCGAACAAAAGAAGGAAGGAUUUCACCUGUCUUCAGAAAUGAUGAAUCUGAGUCCCAAAUCUGGAAACAAUAGCUAGUUCGAAAGAGAAACGCAGAAUGAUUUCAUCUUCUUGUGUGAUUCAAGACGAAUAUCCGAUUGCGAUCUGAACCAUGUACACACCUCCCUCUCAGUUUUCCAUGAAUCGAUUGGAGGUCCUAUUGAGAUCAAAUUAUAGGAGGCCGAUUGGAAAUCUACUUGCAGUUCCGAUUAGGGCUACGAAAAUCAAAGGUGCGGUGGAGGUAGGCUAAGAGAUGAAGAUAUCUUGAACAUUGAUGGGCUUCUCAUCUUGAAUCUAAAACAACGUAAAUUUUCAAAACAAAAUUUUCAUUUCUUAAAAACAUGUUUCCAUCCCAAAAAAAGUCAUAAAGAUCCAAUGUAUCAUAUCAUAGUACAAAUCAUAUAAAUCCCAAGAUCAUAAAUCCUCCAUCAGUGUGUACAGAUCACGCUGGCGCCUUCCCAUGGUCCUCGACAGUACCUAAAACACAUAACACAACAUGUGUAAGCAUAAAUGCUUAGUGACUCGGUAAACCUUCCGGUCCUACCUUACGGUUCUCGUCACAAUGCCUUCCGACCCAUAACAUAUAUGGCUUCCGGCCCAUAACAUGAUGCCUUCCGACCCAUAACAAGCAUAGCAUACAUAGCACAUAUAAACGAUUAACUUAUCAUAUACGAGGCAUACAACUCAUAACAUAUCCGACCUUCCAAUCACACAAUAAAACCCUUCCGGGUACAGUAUAGUGAGAAAACUCACCUCGUGGAAAGUCUAGAAUCUCACGUGCUCGCUAUCUACGAAUCCCCAAAUGAAAACUCAACCCCGCCAAAUCAUAACGAAUGUCAUUUUAAUUAAUAUAGACUUCUACCACUAGACUUUACCCCUUAAUAACAUUCCUCAGAGGGGUAAAAGCCCAUUUUACCCUCCCUUGACUCAAAGUCCAAAUGUUGACCAAAACCCUAAAAGUCAACAAAAGUCAACAUGUUCAGUACGCGGGGCGUACAGACUGAUGUACGCGGGGCAUACAUCGCCAACUCAAUAAUCGGAGUCUCCACCCAGUACGCUGCGCGUACUGGGAGUUACGCCCAUCAUAACAGUCAGAUCUAGACACACCUCAUUUCUGGUCUUAAUCGGUUAAGCCACUAUUACAACUUCUAGAUCCAGCCUUAUUUAAGCAUCCUUACUCUUAAAAUCGAAACCUUUAAGCCUUGGCAUGGCUAUAAACGCUCUUACACUCCUUAACACCUUUCCAUAUCAACUCAAGGAUCUAGAUCUCAUGCAUGGCUAAUCAUUCACGUCCAAGAUUACAUUUUUAUGGAUCUACAACUCAAAUGGACCAGAAAUAUGAUGGAUCUAAGCUAAUGGAGACCACUUGCUCAUAAAGUCUCCACCUUUGGGACCAAAACCCUAGAAAAUGGUCCAUAAAGCACACCACAAGAUCUACAAGUCAAGAUCCUAACUUUUUACCUUAGAAGGAAGCUCCAACCUUUGCUAAGCCUAGAUCUAUACUUGAACACCAGCUUCUAGCCUUCACAAUGGACUCUUCUUUUCCUUUGCUACCUUGAAAUGGCAUGACCAAGCUUAGAACACUCACAAAAGGACUAGGAACGAAGGAACACCCUAUUAGGAUUUCAUUCUGAGGGAUGGUGGCUGAGGAGCCAAGCCAUCUCAUUCCUUUUAUAGCCAACAACUCAAAUUAGGGUUUCGGGUCUAGACCGAUUACGCCCGGCGUAACCUUGGGUACGCCUAGCGUACCCAACGAUGACGUGUUUAAAUGAGGCGUGUGAGUAUGCGCAUCGUACUCCUAUACGCCCAGCGUACUCGCCCAACACAAAGGCCCUAAAAUGACAACAAUUAAAGAUGACGGGCUAAAUGAAAGGGUACCUGGAUUUCAGGCUGUUACAAUUCUCCCCCACUAGAACCAGACUUCGUCCCCGAAGUCUUAAACCGAAAACAAAUCCGGAUACUGCUCCUGCAUCUCAGACUCGGACUCCCAUGUCAGCUCGGACCCCUUCCGAUGCCGCCACUGCACUUGCACCAAGGGUACUUACUUGAUCCUCAGAACCUUAACCUUUCGAUCCCUAAUUGCCACCGGUCUCUCAAUAUAGUUCAGGCCCGCAUCCACCUGAAUAUCCUCUAAUGGAACCACAGCCGACUCGUCGGCAAUACACUUUCUCAACUGCGACACAUGAAAGGUGUCGUGAAUCUGACCCAGCUCCACAGGUAGAUCCAAACGGUAGGCUAGCCUGCCUACUCUCGCAAUUACCCUGAAAGGUCCAAUAUAUCGAGGUCCCAAUUUUCCCCUCUUCCUGAAUCGAAUCACUCCUUUCCAAGGAGAGACCUUUAAGAGUACAAGGUCACCAACCUGAAACUCGAGCUCGGACCGACGCCUGUCCGCAUAACUCUUCAGGCGACUUUGAGCGGUCAACAAUCUCUGCCUGACCUGCUGUAUCUGCUUUGUCGUCUAAAGCACAAUCUCCAUACUACCCAUUACCCGAUGCCCCACCUCUCCCCAGCAUAUGGGGGUCCGACACCUCCUCCCAUACAACAGCUCAAAGGGUGGCAUACCAAUGCUCGAAUGAUGGUUGUUGUUGUACGAAAACUCUGCCAAGGGUAAAUAGGUGUCCCAACUCCCUCCAAAAUCCAAAACACACGCUUGUAGCAUAUCUUCGAGCGUCUGAAUCGUCCGCUCACUCUGCCCGUCCGUCUAUGGGUGGUAUGCGGUACUGAAAUGCAGUGUCGUACCCAACUCCUCGUGAAACUUCUUCCAAAAUCUGGAAGUAAAUCGCACGUCUCGAUCUGAAACAAUCGACAUCGGAACCCCAUGUCGUGAUACCACCUCCCUCACAUACAACUCUGCCAACCUCUCAGCAGAAGAGCUCUCACUAAUAGCAAGAAAAUGAGCGCUCUUCGUCAACCUGUCCACAAUCACCCAAAUUGCAUCGACUCCUCUCGCAAUCCUUGGCAAUUUGGUGAUAAAAUCCAUGGUAAUCUGUUCCCACUUCCACUUGGGAAUCUCCAGCGGUUGCAGCUUACCAUGCGGACGCUGGUGCUCGGCCUUAACUUGGCGACAAGUUAGGCAUCUCUCGACGAACCAAGCAACAUCCCUUUUCAUACAGGGCCACCAAUACUCCUUCUUUAGGUCCAAAUACAUCUUAGUAGCCCCGGGAUGGAUCGAGAACUUCGAUCGAUGUGCCUCUUCCAUAAAAAUGGUACGCGUCCCGCCCACAAACGGUACCCAAAUCCGACCCUGAAAUGUCAUAAGUCCCCGACUAUCGGUAACAAAUCCGACACCUACCCAACAACCCGCUCCCGCUUUCGGUUCUCUGGUCUCGCAACCUCAGCCUGGGCACCUCGGAUGGUGUCCAAUACCGGAGUCAUCACCGUCAACCUCAUACAAAUGUCUCGAAUCAGGGCGCUCUCCGACCUACGGCUCAAAGCGUCGGCUACGACAUUAGCCUUGCCUGGGUGGUACAGGAUCUCACAAUCAUAAUCCUUCACCACAUCCAACCAUCUCCUCUGGUGCAUAUUCAGGUUUGGCUGAUCCAUCAAUUACUUCAGACUCUUGUGGUCCGUGUAUAUGGUACACCGAACCCCAUAUAGCUAUUGUCACCAAAUCUUGAGGGCAAACACCACACCCCCAACUCCAGAUCGUGGGUGAGAUACAUCGACUCAUGAGGCUUCAGCUGCCUCGAUGCAUAUGCUAUAACGUGCCCCCUUUGCGUAAGCACUGCCCCCAGCCUAGGUAUGGAUGCAUCACAAUAUACCAUAAAAUCCUCCAUUCUUUCCGGGAGUGCGAGCACCGGGGCCUCGCACAACUUCUGACGAAGUGUCUCAAAUGAGGACUGCUGCUCCGGACCCUAAGAAAAUGCAACACCCUUCUGGGUCAUCUUGGUAAGUGGCACAUCGAUUUUGGAGAAAUCCCUAAUAAACCUCCGAUAAUAGCCGGCCAAUCCCAGAAAGCUCCUGAUCUCAGUGGGAGAUCUCGGCACCUCCCAUCUCAUCACCGCCUCAAUCUUGGCCGGGUCGACCAGUAUCCCUUCCUAGUUAACAAGGUGUCCUAGGAACUGGACCUCUCGUAACCAGAACUCACACUUGGAGAAUUUGGCAUACAGCCUCUCCGAUCUCAGAACUCCAAGGAUCUCCCUCAAAUGCUCCUCAUGCUGCUCUCUAGACCUCGAAUAUACAAAAAUAUCAUCAAUGAAUACGAUCACCGACCGAUCCAGCAUCGGCCUGCACACCCGGUUUAUGAGAUCCAUGAACGCAGCUGGGGCAUUGGUGAGCCCAAAAGGCAUCACCACAAACUCGUAAUGUCCAUAACGAGUUCUGAAUGCAGUCUUCUGGAUAUCCUCAUCCCGAACCCUCAUCGGAUGAUAACCCGACCUCAAGUCUAUCUUAGAGAACCAAGAAGCCCCCUACAGCUGAUCGAACAGAUCAUCGAUCCUAGGUAACGGAUACCGGUUCUUGACCGUCACUUGUUCAANCAACUUGUUCAACUCCCGGUAAUCAAUACACAUCCAGUGUGAACCAUCUUUCUUCUUGACAAAAAGGAUCGGUGCUCCCCAAGGCGAGCUACUCGGUCGAAUAAACCCCUUCCCCAACAUCUCCUGAAGCUGCGAGGAUAACUCCUGCAUCUCCAGUGGCGCGAGGCGAUAAGGAGUCUUGGCGAUAGGUGCUGCUCCCAGAAUCAAAUCGAUACGGAACUCCACUUGUCUUUCCGGAGGCACGCCCGGCAGUUCCUCGGGAAAAACAUCCGGGAAUUCGCACACUACCGGAACCUCGCCCACCGAACUUAGCCUCCCAGUGGCCACCCGUGCGUCCAUCACAUAGGCUAAGAAUCCACUGCAGCCCUGCUGCAAACUCUGCCUCGCCCUGGCAACUGAACAGAACGCUGAUCCACACAGGGUCCCCUCGCCAUACACAGUAAGCACUCCCCCACUAGGGUCUCGCAUAGUAACCAACUGUUUCCCGCAGUCAAUGACCGCUCCAAACUUACUCAACCAGUCCAUGCCCACGAUGACACAUACUGCUGGAUUAAUGUCUAAGUCCAUAACUAUAUUUUGUAAGACUUGACCCGACCCGGCAUGGUCCAUUUGGGUUGCAUACCAUCAUGCACUUGAAUGAGAGAAAUAAGACACUUAUGGUUAUUAAUAUAUUAUAAGUUCUAGUAUAUUAAUAAUAAGAAUAAUAAGAUUAUUUAAUUAGUAUUGAUCAAGAAUUAAUCUAGGAUUAAUUAAGUGAUCAAAAGAAGACUAAUUAAAUAUAUGGGUUGAUUGUGUAAAUCAUCCAUACUUGUAUAGUGGGCUAAUGCUCCAUGGAUAAUCAAGUUGGGCUAAAACCCAUAGGAUGGUCCAUGGAUGCUCCAUGGUGUAUUUGUACCCAUGGAUCCAAGGAAAUGGAAAGCCAUGACAAUUAAGAGUUUACCCUAAUUGUGUAACUAUAUAAGCAUCUUAUUAUUGAGGAAAAAUCGGCCACUAGUAGUAUUGAAGAAAGGGCUAGCCGAUUUUGAUGAGUGUAGAAUUCUCUCAAGUCAUUCUAAGUGUUUUGAUGAUUGUGAUUCCAUUUGAGGUGUCACACUUGGGGCACUAGGCACUCAAGCUUCAUGAAGACUUUCUACACCAAAGAGGUAUGUAUUCUAUCUUGCUAUAGUUAUUGUUUUGUAUGCUAGAUUAGGAUAAUACCUUGGAAGUUCUUAUUUGCAUGUAUAAUAGAGAAAACAUAGAUCCAAGGUAUUUAGGGUUGCAUGUACACUUAGGAAGUGUUAGAAUGCUCAAAACCCAACAGUGGUAUCAGAGCCACGGGUUGUUUUCUGUUAUAUUGAUGCAAAUAUUUUAUUUUCAAAGUUGAAAAAAAAAAAAAAAAAAAACAUGAAGUUUGUCAAAUUUUAAGAUAAUUACUUGUUCUUGUGAAAAACUAAUUAUUUGUAAAAUUUGAAUAAUUUGCUUUAUGAGUUGAAUUAGGUCAAAUUUAAUAAAAGAUAAAAUAAUAUGAUUAUUUUAUUAGUUUUAAAAGUUUGAUCUAAAGAGUUUUAUUUUUUGAAACCUCCAUAAGUUAUGGAUAUGAAAAGGUUUUAAAAAAAAAAUUGAUUCAAAGUUUUUUUGGAGUUACAAAAUUUGGUGUUAAUGUUUUAAAGGAUUCCAUAACUUAAGAAUAAGUUAUGGAUCACCAAAAGUUUUUUGUGUUACCUUGUUUUAUGAGUGAAUUUAGAUUAAUGAAUAAAAUUAUGUGAUAGUUGGUUUUAAUCCAAAUUAAUCUAAGAAUUGAUUCUAAAAUGUGUUUUUGUAACUUGUCCUCAAGUUAUAUGAAAAGUCACAUUUAAGAAUCAUAAAACUCAUAAAAAUUGGCAAAGGUUACAAAAAUGAAGAGUCUAGUUCUAAUUAAAUGGUUUUAUGACUCCAUAACUUGUCCUCAAGUUAUGGAGGACCAAGAGUCUCUUCAUUUAAUAAAAUAAAAUAAAAAAAAAAAAAGUGUAACCUUAAUUAAUUCCAUAAGUUAUAAAAUAAAGAAAAGUUAAUUCUUUUAUUAGUUUAAAGUCUUCCAUAACUUGUCCUCAAGUUAUGGAACUUGAAGAGUUUUUGGAUUAAAACUACUUUAAACACAUAAGUUAUGGAAUUAAUUAGUUUUGAAUAGUUUCAAAACUUGCCCUCAAGUUUUGGAAUUUGUAAAGUUUUCACUUAUGAAUACUUUAAUUCCAAGUUAGCCCUUAGAAUUUUAAAAGUUAAAAUUCAACCCUUAUACUUUAUAAUAUUAUAAGUUAAUAAUAUAUAUAUGUAUAAGAGUAAAGUCAGUCUUACCGCUAGUACGCCUCAUUCACGAAGCCGGUCUAUAAGGUGGGUAUAAGGUUGUUGCCUAUAAAAUGGCAACUUAAUGGGUGUCCACUCUCACCCACCGCUUGCUUGACUGGUGGAGGGUCGUUAGCCGAACGGGUUUGACAGGACUAGAAUUCUCCCUUCAUUAAAAGUAUUAAUGAUAAUACUAAGUAACUAAACUCUUAAUAAUACCCAAUCUUAGUUACUUAGGAAAAAUGUGAAUAAGGUGCUAAUCCAUGAAAUUACACUUUACACUUUGUCUAAGUCGUUAGUGGAGCGUGUGUGGUUAACCGGCACACUAACUUGGACUUAACAAGGUAGGUAAAGGGUGACUUAAUAUUUAUCAUAGUAUCGAUGGAGCGUGUGUGGUUAACCGGCACAUCGAUUGAGGGGUAAUUUAUUAAGGGUACCAAGUGAUUUGCAUGGUUACUUCACACCUUGUUUUGUGAUCCUCGGCAUCCCAGUCACAAAACCUGAAGGGCACACUCGAGAUUGAAACAUGCCUUUGAAAAGUUCAAUGAAUCUCAAAGAUCUAGGAGUUUCAAAACCAAUUAAAACCUAAUAAUACAUUUCGUUUAUCUUGGUGGAAAUUGGUGAAUCGUCAUUCACCUACCUUCAAAUAUUUUAUAGCUUGGAUUACGGCAUACCUCUUCUAAGUUAUAAAAUAGUUUGUUGGGUCCUAGCCUUAAUAUUUCAUAUUGGGUGUCAUAUUAAGGACUUUAAAUCAACUAUCUUGAAUAUCUCCCAAAAGAUGUCUGUAAUAGACACCUAUGAUCUUCCCAAAUCUAGUGAAACAAGGUUUCCUAAAUGAAGAUGAUGUCCUUUGGAAAUCAUACUUCUUUCACCUCCUCCAAUUAUUCUCCCUAACCCACAAGUUCUUGAAAAGUUUAAGGUCACUCAAGCCCUAUUGGCAAGGCAAGGUCUAGGUGUGAUCACAUCUUGGAGAUGUAGUCACAUAUUGACAAGCCGGGAGAGUUGGGUGUCAAAGUCUUGAGAAAGUUGGUGGUUCAAUCACUUUCUAAGUCACAUAGUGAGUUCCUUUGGGACACCUAUGAAACAGACUAUGACAAGACCCUUAAUGAUCUUAUCUAUUUGCUAAGAUCAACUUCCUAAAACUUUAUGGACAUUGACAAUGAUGACAUUGGAUAUCCAGUAAAGCAUUCUCUUCCCAAUGGAAAGGGAUCGGCCAUAGUCAACUCGGUUGACCAAAUGGUAAAGAGAAAAGCUAAGUCUGUGAUAGUCUCGUGUACCAUUAUCAAAGGGUCCAUAUGUUUAUAUUGCCAAGGGAAGGGGCAUUGGUUGCGAAGCUGCCAAAUUUACCUAAGGAUGUUAAAGUCAAUAAGUUUGACUCUACUUCAGGUAAAGACCACUAUCUAACUCUGUUAAGUUUCUAUUCUGAGAUUCCUGAUACAUGAUGUGACUGGGUCACAUGGUGAUGUUUUAAGAAUCAAAGAAAAGUGAAGAAACUUAAAGAAAGAAUAUGCUGAAUCUGAUGGCGUAGAUGGAUUUCUAUCGCAUAGUUUGAAGAUCGGAUUCUUGAGCAACUUCUUAGGAGUUAUGAGAUAUUGCUUAGGAAUAGAUAACAACAAGUUUUCAUAUGGAUUGUAAGGAUAAGUUUUUCCGCAAAGUUUUAAAAUAAAAGAAAAUUUUUUUGAUUUUAUUUAUUUUAAAAUAUCCUUACAAUGGCUUUUGAGGAAAAAUUGUUGCUUAUAUGAUUCCAUUAAGAGCAAGAGUGGAAAUAUGAAAUUGAUUCUUUCAUUUGUGGUAAUGUCUAGAUUUACCAAAUAAGGAAAGAUUCUCAUCACCCAAGUUUCAAUUGGACCGGAACUUGGAAUCAUGCAAGUUGUAUAGCAUGAUGAAUGAGAACUUUCAAGUUUUGGAAAAUUAAGACUAAUUACUCGGCCACAUGGAUGUGUGAGUCAAGUAAAGGACUAAGGGAUCGAGUACACAUUCUUGUGCACUGAUUAAGUCCACCACAAAAGAUUGAUAAGACUAUUCGUCAUAGUUUACUAAAGCUCAGUAAAUAUGAUUAUACUUACAAGCUUAAGUGUAACUCUGAGACAUUGGAAAAGGUUCCAAUGUAUGGCAGGGCGAAUAAGAAGAAUCAAAUAAGGCAGAAGGAUAAAAGUUUCUCAAAUCUGAAAAGAUGGGAGAGUACUUUAGUAUCAGUUUUGUGAUCAUCUUAAUGAUUAAGAAACCAUAUCAAAAUUAGUUCUCUAAGGAAAUCUUAGUGCAUUCUUAUGACUAAGAAGAGGAACUUGAAUUGUUGAAAUGGUUAAAUCAAGAAGAUGAGUCAUACUUCGUUCCAAUACAAGUCUUAGAGUCAUACUCCAAGAUUGUAACUUGAGUGACAUGUCUUAAAGAAGGUUUAAAACACUUGUCAAAUGUAAGAGUAAAAGUUUUCUACUCUUGUACAUUUGAAAUUGGUAAGUUGUGAUGUUUUGGAUAAAACAAAGACCAACUUAGGCCAAUUGUGUGAAGUGUUUGUCUUGAUUAGAAUCCACACUAUCUCUUGGAUAUUUGACAAGGGAGUCUUAUAGGUCAAGAGGACAGUGGGAGUCUUAAAGGUCUUGAAAGUCUCAAGAACUAAUCAAGAAUAAAACCUAAAGUUCUUCACUAGCACACAACUUGAGGUUCAUAACCUAUCGUGUUGACAUAUUCUGUGCCCAUUCCAGUUAAAGUUGGCUUUGCAUAUGAGUUCUUAGAGUUCUCAAUUUGUUGCACAACAACUUGGAAGCAAUGGUAGGCCCUUGAGCUGCCAGGUGGCAAGAAAUUAAGAUUGAGUUCAGUCCAUAUGAGUUUGGAUUUGUCAUUAUCCUUGUCUUGUGACUAUGGUUUUGACAAUUCACAUGGAUAAGAACACAUACACCAUUAAAUCUAAGUGUCAUAAGGUUUCUCUCCGAUUCAUGAAAAUGAUGGUGAGGAAACACUUUCACUAAGUAGAUUUUAGCUAGAUAGCAAUUGUGAUAUUUGCAUUCUCAAAGUCGUUAGUGGAGCGCGUGUGGUUAACCGGCACACUAAUUUGGACUUGUGAGAAGUGGCAAAAAGGUCUAAACAUUAUGAUUACGGCAUCCCUCUUCAUAAUUGUUUAGAUACACAAGUGUGCUAUCUAAGGGAAGGUGUAUGAUUUUGAUAAAGUUUUAUCAAAACAAUCUAGCAUCAGAAAUCUGAACUUUGGUAAGAAAGUCAAUGAAGUAUUGAUUUCUAGAAGUCCAGCUGAUUUCUGAGUACAUGUCAAAGCUAGUGGGAGCAUAAGUGUUAUGCUAAUAAUCAUCAUGUUAGUGGGAGCAUGAUAAUUAUGAUAAGUAUUGCAAGUUAGCAAUGUUAAUUAUAGAAAACAAAAGUUUCAAUUGGGAAAAAGUUGUUUUGCUAUAAUUAAGGGAGAGGAAAUUAUACUUCAUCUCAAAUCUAUAAGCUUAGAUCGUGAGGUUUUAAUCAUUUAGUCAAGGAUAUAUAUGAAUUUCAUGUUGGAAUGGCUCAACAUAAGGAAAUUCUGUAUAUGGGUCCAUUAUUUGCGUUCUAAAAUUCGAUUAUGAUUACGGCAUCCCUUUUCAUAAUCUGAAUUAUGAGAACUUGGCAAAUUGAAAUGGAAAUAUUAUAGCAAAAGACUGGUUUAGUCUUUAUGUAAGACAUCAUGAAUCGUGUCCCAUAUGCUUCGGAUAUAGGAUCGAUUACAUGUGCUAUAUUCAUCCGUUCUAAAAUUUUCCAAAUGCCUGGGGCAUUAAGAAGGGAAAAGGUUUAGAACUGGAUAUGACUAAAAGGAUUAAACAAUUGUCGAGGACAAUCUAAGGUUUACCAAAGAUUGGUUGCUCAAGGACAGUUGGAAGUAUAGUGAUAAUUCUGGAAGGACCAUAUUGACAUAAUCUGUAAGGAGGCAACUCUUGUUCAGAAGUGAUAGUCAAAAUGGAAUCUGGAAAUGUUUCAAAGUUAGAAUUUUCAAUCUGUUUAAGAUUAGGAAACUUAAUGCAAGAAGGAUGUUUCCAAGGAGCUGAUCUCCUUUGGAAUACUCUGUAAUGAUUGUUGUCAAGUCUUUCUGACUUUGUGCAUAAUCAUUACAAGAGGAUCAAUGCAUAUAAGUUUAGAAUCUAACAGAUUUCAGUAAAUGGCAUGAAUUUGGAAUUCUUGCAUUUGCAGUAAGGAUUUGGGAGUGUGAAAAGAGAAUCAUUGAAGUUAUGUUCAAUUGAUCUAGUUCACAAAGUAAAGAUCAUAGACAAACAUAGUAUGCAUACUUGGUGUGUGGCAUGACUAGUGUUUAAGAAAACAUAGUGUACAUGCUUGGAGCAUGGGACAACUAUUGUUUUAAAUUCAAGAAUAAAGUUGAUAGCUGAAACAGUAUACAAUGAAUAAUGUGUAAUCAUAUGGUGAUAAAUAAAAGGUGUUUUAUUUAUGUUCAAAGGGUUGAUACCAUAUUGGAUUCAAUUAUUAUUGUGUUUCACUUUGCAUGUUUUGACUUCCCGAAUAAACUGGGUUAUUCUUCCGGAAUGACUAAGUUAUUCAAACCAUCCACAGUCGGUCAUAUGUUGGAAGUAGAUAUGAAUUAAGACUGUCAUGAUGGGUUGUAGAGGUCUAAGGUGUUGGACAAGGCUACAACAAUCAUGAGUGCUCAUAAGUUCUGAGUAUUGGAUUCAACCCGCGCUCAUUGGAAUCACUUCAUGGAUUUUAUCACGAGUGAUCAUGAGACGAUAAUAUCUUAUAUUCUUCAAACCUAGAGAUAUGAGUUGUUACUAUGAGUUGAUAGUACAUUGAUAGCACGAAAACGCAUUUGGUAACUCGGUGCUAUAAAACGUGCCUUUGUGUAUGAUUCAACAAGUAGUAGAACAAGCCAUAUGAGUCGAAGUUUAUCCGUUCCUUUUACCUUCGGGAUAAAAGCGAUAUCUGUGGGCCCCUCGAUGAUUUGAUGAUGACAAAUGGAAGUGCUCGGCCGGGCCAGGACUGAUUUGAUUUGUUCAAUUAGUCAGUCGUCAUAAAUCGGAAAUCGGGAAACAACAAAUGGACAGAGAGAAUGAUUAUAAUCCAUGUCUCAGUCCAUAUGAUAUCUAGAAUGGAGGAAUAUAUGAUCCCUUAUCUAAUGGACAAGUCACUGACAAAGGUCAGAGUUCAUCUACAAGGUCAGAGUUCGACAGAAGCUUUUGAGAGCUACGAUUGCCGGUUGGUUCCUGAAGUCAUACGCAAUAAUAGUUUUAGACUUAUCCAAGUGGGAGACUGUUGGAUUAAUGUCUAAGUCCAUAACUAUAUUUGGUAAGACUUGACCCGACCCGGCAUGGUCCAUUUGGGUUGCAUACCAUCAUGCACUUGAAUGAGAGAAAUAAGACACUUAUGGUUAUUAAUAUAUUAUAAGUUCUAGUAUAUUAAUAAUAAGAAUAAUAAGAUUAUUUAAUUAGUAUUGAUCAAGAAUUAAUCUAGGAUUAAUUAAGUGAUCAAAAGAAGACUAAUUAAAUAUAUGGGUUGAUUGUGUAAAUCAUCCAUACUUGUAUAGUGGGCUAAUGCUCCAUGGAUAAUCAAGUUGGGCUAAAACCCAUAGGAUGGUCCAUGGAUGCUCCAUGGUGUAUUUGUACCCAUGGAUCCAAGGAAAUGGAAAGCCAUGACAAUUAAGAGUUUACCCUAAUUGUGUAACUAUAUAAGCAUCUUAUUAUUGAGGAAAAAUCGGCCACUAGUAGUUGUCAAGAAAGGGCUAGCCGAUUUUGGUGAGUGUAGAAUUCUCUCAAGUCAUUCUAAGUGUUUUGAUGAUUGUGAUUCCAUUUGAGGUGUCACACUUGGGGCACUAAGCACUCAAGCUUCAUGAAGACUUUCUACAUCAAGAGGUAUGUAUUCUAUCUUGUUACAUUCAUUGUUUUGUAUGCUAGAUUAGGAUAAUACCUUGGAAGUUCUUAUUUGCAUGUAUAAUAGAGAAAACAUAGAUCCAAGGUAUUAGGGUUGCAUGUACACUUAGGAGUGUUAGAAUGCUCAAAACCCGACACAUACAUCUCCCAUAGCGAUAGGAACUAGGUCUAUAGGGAAAUCGAUACCAAAAAUCUCGAGCACACAUCCUCGAAUCACGUCUGUGGCAUAUAUCGCUUUCUCAUCAGCUAUGGAAACCCUCAGAGGUCGACUCAUCACCUCUCAAUCAAUACCGAGGUGUUGACUAAAAGCCAGAGAUACAAAAGACCGACUCGCACCCGAGUCAAAUAAUACCAAGGCAGGUACAAAAUUCACAAGAAAGGUACCUACGCAUAUCAUAAAAUAAGCACAACAUCUCAACAUAAAAGUAAAUACACGAAAGAUUACAUACCAGCCAAGACAUCAGGCGCCGCGUGGACCUCCUCCGCAGUCAACUAAAAAGCUCUCCCACGAGCCCUAGCAGCAGGUGCCCCGGCCUUCACUGGUCGAGUCUCAGUAGCCCUAGCAGCAGGUGCAUAUCCAUAGAGAAGCUGAGGACACUCAGCCUUCCGAUGGUCGGUCUGGUUGCAAUGGAAGCAAACCAUAAAUCCCUUGGGGCAAUCCCUAGCGAUGCGCCCCUCCUUGCCACAUUUGUAGCAAGCACCUGAUCGACAGACCCCCUCAUGACCCUUGCCGCACUUCCCGCAAGUGCGGCCCUUCUGACCUCCUAUCGUCGAAUCGGUGGACUUGGUCCGCUUGGCUACCGGCUGGGACUGAGCCGGUCAUCGAUCCACCCACUGAGACUUGGCCUCCUCCCUAGCCUGGGUCUCCAACUCGAUCUCCCUCUUCCGAGCAUUUUCCUAGAGCUCAGAAAAUGUCCGGUAUGUCGAGUUCGAUACGAACUCCCGAAUGUCCGUCCUCAGUAUACCCAAAUAUCGGCUCAUCCGUGCCUGCUCAGAAGACACCUGCUCAGGGUAGAACAUCGCCCUCUCAUGAAACUUCCGGGUGACCACAACAACUGAAUCAUUGCCCUGCUUGAGGGUCAAGAACUCAUGAGCCAAUCGUUCCCUCUCCACCGGGGGAACAUACUCAUCUCGGAGCAUGGUGGUGAAUUUCUCCAAAGUCACCGCUGAAAUCUCCUCAAGAGUGAAGUUCGCCGUCACGAACUUCCACCAAUCCUUUGCUCCCAGGCGGAGCUGGUUCAAAGCGAACCGCAUUCUCAAAUGCUCCGGACAUGAACACGUGUAGAAGCAUCCCUCAAUGUCAGCAAUCCAUCGCAUCGUAGCGAUCAGGUCCUGCGUCCCAUCAAACUCGGGUGGCUUCGUGUUGCUGAACUCCCGGAACAACAACGAGCCACCUCCCUGAGGUCUGGCAGCAGCNUGUAGCUGCAGCGGCCGUAGCCUCAGUCACCGCGGCGUACCGUUCAUCAAAAGUCUCCAACAACGUGGUCUUGAUAGACCCAAACAUCUCCGGAAUCUUGGCCCGGAUUGCCGCGGCCACCUCAUCGUGGAUCAUCUGACGAAUCUCCUCGUCACUCACACAGCUCGUCUCAGGUCUGUGGCGUGUCCCAACCAUGAUGCCUCUGAAAUACAACAUAAACAUAUCAGAGACCCAAUUGAGCAUACUCGCACUCGAUAACGCAACCCUACUCGACCUCCGAUACCCAAUGGAUUCUUACUUGGACUGCCCACUGAUCCGGUGUCUUCAGUAGUACGGGCCCUAUACUACUGACUACACCGCAUCAGCGUUCACCCCAAGUCCUCCUCCUUGGACCCCGGAUCACGAGUACUCUAUUCUUGCUAUGCACUGAUUACCUACUCGCUCUUAAAGCAUCUCAUAGCAGCAGAUUUCCCCUAGACUAAGGCAUCACAAAUCAGGCCAGUCUAGUCCUAAUAUGAAUACCUAGUCUACUCUAGCAUGCAUAACAUACCAUAACAUAUCUCAUAACACAUAUUGUAAGGGUAUUUUGGGGAUUUUUACCGUUCAAGCGCUGGCUGACCGUACACACUGCUUCAUCCUUGGUUAUCACAAAAUCCCUUAUAAAAUUUUUAUGCUUUUCUUUUUGAAGAAUUUCCUCAAAUCCUCGGUUUGAGUUCAGUUACGCCCAAAGGUGCACCCGAAUCCCUCAAACCAAGGCUCUGAUACCAACUUGUAACAACGUAAAUUUUCAAAACAAAAUUUUCAUUUCUUAAAAACAUGUUUCCAUCCCAAAAGAAGUCAUAAACAUCCAAUGUAUCAUAUCAUAGUACAAAUCAUAUAAAUCCCAAGAUCAUAAAUCCUCCAUCAGUGUGUACAGAUCACGUCGGCGCCUUCCCACGGUCUUCGCUAGUACUUGAAACACAAAACACAACAUCUGUAAGCAUAAAUGCUUAGUGAGUUCCCCAAAAUACUAGUUACGCACAUAUGCCUUUCCAGGCCCUGACCCUCCGGUCCGUGUGUCUCAGGGGACUUUCUUCCCGACUCGAUAAACCUUCCAGUCUUACCUUACAGUUCUCGUCACAAUGCCUUCCGCCCCAUAACAUAUAUGCCUUCCGGNAUAAUGCCUUCCGGCCCAUAUCAAGCAUAGCAUACAUAGCACAUAUAAACGAUUAACUUAUCAUAUACGAGGCAUACAACUCAUAACAUAUCCGACCUUCCAGUCACACAAUAAAAUCCUUCCGGGUACAGUAUAGUGAGAAAACUCACCUCGUGGAAAGUCUAGAAUCUCACGUGCUCGCUAUCUCCGAAUCCCCAAAUGAAAACUCAACCCUGCCUAAUCAUAAUGAAUGUCAUUUUAAUUAAUAUAGACUUCAACCACUAGACUUUACCCCUUAAUAACAUUCCUCAGAGGGGUAAAAGACCAUUUUACCCUCCCUUGACUCAAAGUCCAAAUGUUGACCAAAACCCUAAAAGUCAACAAAAGUCAACAUCUUCAGUACGCGGGGCGUACAGACUGAUGUACGCGGGGCGUACAUCGCCAACUCAAUAAUCGGGGUCUCCACCCAGUACGCUGCGCGUACUGGGAGUUACGCCCAGCGUAACAGUUAGAUCUAGACACACCUCAUUUCUGGUCUUAAUCGGUUAAGCCACUAUUACAACUUCUAGAUCCAGCCUUAUUUAAGCGUCCUUACUCAUAAAGUCGAAACCUUUAAGCCAUGGCAUGGCUGUAAAGGCUCUUACACUCCUUAACACCUUUCCAUAUCAACUCAAGGAUCUGGAUCUCAUGCAUGGCUAAUCAUUCACGUCCAAGAUUACAUUUUUAUGGAUCUACAACUCAAAUGGACCAGAAAUAUGAUGGAUCUAAGCUAAUGGAGACCACUUGCUCAUAAAGUCUCCACCUUUGGGACCAAAACCCUAGAAAAUGGUCCAUAAAGCAUACCACAAGAUCUACAAGUCAAGAUCCGAACUUUUUACCUUAGAAAGAAGCUCCAACCUUUGCUAAGCCCGGAUCUAUACUUGAACACCAGCUUCUAGCCUUCACAAUGGACUCUUCUUCUCCUUUGCUACCUUGAAAUGGCACCACCAAGCUUAGAACACUCACAAAAGGACUAGGAACGAAGGAACACUCUCUUAGGGUUUCUUUCUGAGGGAUGGUGGCUGAGGAGCCAAGCCAUCUCAUUCCUUUUAUAGCCAACAACUCAAAUUAGGGUUUUGGGUCGGGACCGAUUACGCCCGGCGUAACCUUGGGUACGCCCAGCGUACCCAACGAUGAUGUGUUUAAAUGAGGCGCGCGAGUACGCGCGGAGUACUCCUUGUACGCCCAAUGUACUCGCCCAACACAAAGGACCUAAAAUGACAACAAUUAAAGAUGAAGGGCUAAAUUAAAGGGUACCUGGAUUUUGGGUUACAGAAUCGAAGAUGAUGAUGGAGGUUGAUGGUUAAACCUGAUGCUAGCGAUGGUGGUGGAUCAAUGAUGUAGGGCUGUGCAAAAUUGGUGGCGUAGGAAUGAGAUGAUGAUGAUGAACAGAUGGAGACGGUGGAGGCGUACCUAGGUUUACAGAGAGAUGAAGAGAGAGAGAGAGACGGGAAAUGGAAAGAAAUAGGUGAGUGAUUGAGGAAUUAUAGGAAUUAACUAACGGUGGUAUAGGUCCAAUUACUAUAAUACCCUUAUCACCAUUUAAAGUUACACUUUAAUACCUAUAACUUUUAGAAUUUUACAUGAAUUGCUCGUUUGAUAAUAGCCUUAGAUUUAAUUAUUUAAAUGGGCCAAAUGCGUUCUCGCGUUCUCAACCUUUUAGGUGUUAUCAUUUGAUCCUACUCCUAUAUAUAUAGAAAAAAUACUGAGAAUGCAAGAAUGAAUAUAAGUCAUGGACUUUAUCAUUGUUGUUUAAAUGCCCCGACGUACCUACGUAACUGGAGAGGUAAUAUUAAUAUACAUAUUAAAAGCCAUUGCGAUUAUUAACAUGUAACACCCGCAACUUCAGGACAAAUACGUAUGGUAUAAUAAGUAAUAAUUAUUAUAAUUUGAAGCCUUAAAUACGGAGUGUAAAACUUGGUUUCAAAUCGUUUCAUUAUCCGGGGCCGUGUCUCGAUUAUCAUAUGACUUAGGACCUUUGGGAAGGAGGCUAAUGGCCCUUUUUGGAUGGGGGAGUUAUAGAUUAAAUAAUCUGACUGUUCAUUUGUGUUUCCGAGCCCAAAGGUAUAACCGUAAUUUGUUAACUUGGUCCUUUAUGAAUUUUGGGUUUUGUUCAGGAAGUUCUAAGGAAAAGUUGAUUUGAUAGAAGUGUAGGGCUUCUCGUCACCUUUCCGUGGAUUUAAAGUUCGUUGGAAAUGAACUUAAGAUGGAAGAGUUACGACCAGUAGAAGAUCAUGGGAUUUGGAGCUUGGUCGAGUACGCGAGGUGUACUCACCAAAUACGUUGGGCAUAGAUGGUUGAAUGAUCGUGGAUCCUUUCUUAGUUUGCCAAACAUACUAAGGGGUACGCGGGGCGUACUCCCUUCGGCAAGAAACCCUAAAUUUGAGGGUUGUAGCCUAUUUAUGCCAUAAGUUAGCCUCUUGUUGCCUUGUUUAAUCAGCCUCCUCACCCUUGAAAACCCUCAUUCGUUCCUUAGCCUAUGUUUGGUGAUUUUGAGCUCUUGUGAAGCUUUUAUGGAGGGUUUUGUGCAUCUAGAGGCGGAAGGUGAAGGUUGAAGACUCAUUCUUUGGAGGAGGGCUUUGAGAUCCAGCUUAAGCACCUUAUUUUGGUGGCUUGUGAGGUAUAAAGUUCAAACCUUGCCAUUUUAUUUCUUAGAUCUACUUCUUGGACUUCUUUUUACUCAUUUUGGUCCUUUUUGGUUGGUGAUUGGGAGUUAAGGCCGUUUUUGGAGCUUAGCCUUAUAGAUCUAGACAUAUUAAGGGUUCCUUGGGGUGCAACUUUAUGGUGGUUUGAGUAUCAUGCAUGUAUUAAGUCAUUUAUUAAUCUCUUUUAAGCUCUAGAGCCCCAUUUUUCUGUGCAUGAACAUAAACUUGGCAACUUGGUGAUUAACCACCUUGUGGAAGUCAAAUAUGAGUUUGGAUCGAAGUCUUAAUGGGUUAAGAGCUAAAAUGGAAAAGUUGGCCAUGUUGGUGAGUACGCUAGGCGUACAUGUUUGUAUACUUCACAUACAAGCCGUUUAUACAGUACGCUGAGCGUACAGGCUGAGUACGCCCCACAUACUCAACAGGAUAGGUUUCUCUUGUUUGGGCUUCAGUUUUAGGCUUGAGUGGGCUUGGUUGUCUUGGGCCAUUUUAGGCCAUUAGAAUUCAUGGUUUUUGAUGUUGAGAUUUCAUUGGACUUCUUAGGAAAAGGCCCAUGAAAGGGAUGGGCCCAAUUUGGAAAAUUAGGCCAUAUUUGGGCCUUAGAUGCUUAUUUUGUAUUGUAGGGUUUUGGACAUUUGGUUUUGGCCUCGGCCUUGGGCCAAGUUAGAGGAAGGGUGAAAAGGUCUUUUACUUUAAUUUGGACUCUUUGGGUGAGUCAGGAUCUAGUUAUUAAUGGGUUGUUAUUUUGGUAUUUGAUUGCAUGUGGAUUUUAGCGGAUCUGCACACAGACCUUUAUCCGAGGGUUUCAGCUGUCUGAGGUGAGUCUCCUUACUGUACUAUGGGUCAAAGGGACCAAUAACGGGCCAUUGGCUUAUGUUAUAUAGGAUUACCAUGGGGUGGCCCUUAGCAUUUGUAUGAAAGACCUGAAGGUGGCUUAUGGUAAAUCAGUAUGCAAGGCUAGGGUUCGUAACCUGGUAGUUAAGUAGAUAGUUAGUCGUAGAUUGUAUGUUGGUCAUAUUAGUAUGCAAGGCUAGGGCUCUUGUUAAGCUCUUAUGGAGGGUUUUGUGCAUCUUGCAUGGAAGACUGGGAGGUGGAUCCAGGCACUUGUCUGUAAGACCCAGGGUUUUGGCCCCCGACCUGGCAAGGAAAGACCAUGAUACGACUUGUGGCAUAAUGGCAAUACUAUGGUUGGCACAUAGCUGUUGGGUUUUCUACGCAUCAAAUACACUCUAAAACUAGGUAGCAGAAAAAUCGAAACAACGAUAUACCUAAGUGUACAUGCAUCCUAUGAAUCUAUGGGUUCACGCUAGUUACAUCAACCCUAGAAAACAUAAAACAUAAGUAAGAAAACAUACCUCUUAUGUAGCCCUUGAUCUCCAUGGUUGAGAUCUUGAACCUCCAUGAAGUUGCUUGGAUGAAAGGACCCAAACCAGAAUCCCUCUAAUGGUAUCACACCCAAUGACACCAAAGAGUGGAAUAAAAAUAACUAGGAGAAGGGUCAAUUUCACAGACCCAAAGGGGUUAGAAAUCGUCCCUAAGAGGGGGAUGAAGAAGGGUUGGCAAAUACUUCAAGCCAAGGAGCAAGGAGGAAUGGAAUCCCUAAGGCCCUAUUUAUAGCCUUGGAUGCCUCUAUAGGUUUAGUACUCCUUCUCAUGUGGGAUGUUGGCCUAACCACGAAAUUUCACUCCUUUCCCGUUUGGGAUGGAGUGAUUUUCAUCCAACCCUAAUUCCAUAAGAUUCUGGAACAUUCCUGAUUAACCAACUAUCGAUUAAUGAACAUUCAACCCUUUAAUUAAUUAAACUAUUAAUUAGUUCCCAAUAUAUGUUUGCAAAAUAUAUUUCCAAUUAGUUCCUUAUUAAUUAUUAACCAUAAUAAUUAGUAAACUAAUUUCUCCUGUAUUUAUUCUACUCAAUUUGGGUCUUGAGGGCAACCCAAAAGGACCUUGCUGUUAUUAGAAAUAUGACCAAUAGUUAAUGAUCUUGGACACUAUUCCAACAGUCUCCCACUGGGACAAGUCAUCAACUAUACGAGGACUAAUAUUUCUGCAAUAAUCAACAGAGAGUUAGCCAUCCAAUGCAACUACCGAACUCUUGAUCUAAUCAAGAUUCAACCCUUAGAUAAGUGAUCAACUAUCCCUUCAUUUUAUGAUAUCUGGAUGAAUUCGAGACAUGGAUAAUGGUCAAUCUCAAGAAUUCAAGAUUAUGUUUCCCGAUAUAGAUUUGUGAUGACUACAUCUGACUACUAAAUUGAACACAUCAGUUCCAGUCAGGGCUCAGCCAAGCACUUUAGAUGUCAGCACCAAAUCAUCGAGGGGCCCAUAAAUAUCGCUUCUCCUAUUAAGGCAAAAGGAACGAAUAAACUUUGACUACAUAGUUUUUGUCUAUUUCAUCAUGUCACACAUGGACAUACCCUUUAUAACUACCAGUUACGGUUAGCGUUGGAGUAGACCAAUGCAUAACAGAAUCAUAGAGUAAAACCCCACAUGCAUCUAGGUUUGAAGAAUAGAAGAUAUUAUCGACUUAGAAUUACUCGUGACUGAAACCAUGAAGUAAUAUCUAAGCGUGGGUUGGUCCAAUACUUAAAUCUCUAUUAAGCACUCAUGAGUGUUAGCGCAAUCUCUAUGCUAUUUCCAAUCAAUAUGGACAGUCCACUAAUACUCAUGACAAUCUUGAAUCACUACUUGCUUCCAAGAUUAUGACCGACUGUGGAUGUUUGAGUAAAUUAAUACUCGGGAAGUGGGUUCCAAACAUGCAAAAGUGAGAACGCAGUGAUAGGCUAAUUGAAAUGACCGAAAUCCAUCAUAUAUUAAGAUCACCACUUAAUAAUCUCCAAAUCAAAUUAAAACUUAUAUUGCUUAAAGUUCUCGGGUUUUAAAACAAACCAAACUAAGAGUGUUUAAGCCAAUUCAUUUGCAGAUCUAAUGCCUCUCGACUUUUUCUGACUGUCAGACAUGGUCAAUGACAUCGGCUUAUGGAAUGGGUUGACAAGAUUAUCUUUCAAUAUGAAUCAUUGACUAUGAUGUCUUUACAUUUGACUCGCUAUCAAAUGUGUUGGUAUUUAUUGAGUAUGUUUCAUGUGAGCUCGUGUGACUUGGGAUCCAUACUCGAGGUAAGUUCACGCAAAGUCACAAGAAACUUCAUAAGGACCAUCAAUGAUUGAAUUUCAAAAAGAUGUCCCUAAUGAGUCUCUUUCAGUCACAUUGUCCACUUUUCAAUUUAACCAACUGUAAUAUACUUUAAGUAUGUUAAAUCCACUAUGGUGUAUUACCCGGUACUCUUUCAAGCUAAUAUACCACCAUUCAGUAAAAGCACGAAUUCCGAUUGCAAACGGAAUUGCCUUUAUUAGUGUGGAACUUAGCAUCAAUGUAACUCUUACAAUUAUCUCUUCCAUACUAUCGAGAUCAUCUCUUAUGUCCGCCAAGGACACCUAAGAAUGUUCUUGAUCUUGAUUCAUUGAUUCUUGCCAGAUCUAAUCCAACUUGUCAUGCUCAAGGCAUACGAGUCAUCAGAUAUGGUACAUGUCAUGGCAUAUAUGAUUGAAUCCAUAGAAAAAGAUGUGGGGCACGACUCAUAACCUCUAGCGGACCUUAGGACAUUAGCAUCUGUUAAUGUUAUGCCAUAUUAUGCACGAACCUUUCCAAGUUCUUCAUGUUGUGUUUCCUCAACAUUACACGUACUUUGGCUCCAAUGAAUCACCUUAAUAUAUGUACGUAUUUUGUAUCUCCCAUGUAUAUCAUAGUGAAACAAUUCUCAUACCAAGCCAAGCUUUUACACUUGCUAAGUUAAAAUAUAAUUUCCUAUGAAUCGUACAUUAUCUAUGUACAAUACAAGGAUGACUAUAGUGUUCCCACUAGCACUGACAUAUAUACGGUUUAUCUUGUUGGGUUUUGAGCAUUCUAACACUCCUAAGUGUACAUGCAACCCUAAAUACCUUGGAUCUAUGUUUUCUCUAUUAUACAUGCAAAUAAGAACAUCCAAGGUAUUAUCCUAAUCUAGCAUACAAAACAAUGACUAUAGCAAGAUAGAAUACAUACCUCUUUGGUGUAGAAAGUCUUCACGAAGCUUGAGUGCCUAGUGCCCUAAGUGUGACACCUCAAAUGGUUCACACAACACCAAAUACAAAUGGAUUAACUUGAGAGAAUUCUACACUUCAUGAAAAUCGGCUAGCCCUUUCUUACUCUCUCUAGUGGCCGAUUUUUCCCAAGAAUGUGAUCUUUAUAUAGUGUUACAAUUAGGGUAAACUCUUAAUUGUCAUGGCUUUCCAUUUCCUUGGAUCCAUGGGUUCAAAUACACCAUGGAGCAUCCAUGGACCAUCCUAUGGGUUUUAUCCCAACUUGAUUAUCCAUGGAGCAUUAGCCCACUAUACAAGUAUGGAUGAUUUACACAAUCAACCCAUAUAUUUAAUUAGUCUUCUCUUGAUCACUUAAUUAAUCCUAGAUUAAUUCUUGAUCAAUACUAAUUAAAUAAUCUCAUUAUUCUUAUUAUUAAUAUACUAGAACUUAUAAUAUAUUAAUAACCAUAAGUGUCUUAUUUCUCUCAUUUAGUCUAUCCAAGUGCAUGAUGCCAUGCAACCCAAAUGGACCAUGCCGGGUCGGGUCAAGUCUUACCAAUUAUAGUUAUGGACUUAGACAUUAAUCCAACAGUCUCCCACUUGGAUAAGUCUAAAACUAUUAUUGCGUAUGACUUCAGGAACCAACUGGCAAUCGUAGCUCUCAAAAGCUUCUGUCGAACUCUGACCUUGUAGAUGAACUCUGACCUUUGUCAAUGACUUGUCCAUUAGAUAAGGGAUCAUAUAUUCCUCCAUUCUAGAUAUCAUAUGGACUGAGACAUGGAUUAUAAUCAUUCUCUCUGUCCAUUUGUUGUUUCCCGAUUUCCGAUUUAUGACGACUGACUAAUUGAACAAAUCAAAUCAGUCCUGGCCCGGCCGAGCACUUCCAUUUGUCAUCAUCAAAUCAUCGAGGGGCCCACAGAUAUCGCUUUUAUCCCGAAGGUAAAAGGAACGGAUAAACUUCGACUCAUAUGGCUUGUUCUACUACUUGUUGAAUCAUACACAAAGGCACGUUUUAUAGCACCGAGUUACCAAAUGCGUUUUCGUGCAAUCAAUGUACUAUCAACUCAUAGUAACAACUCAUAUCUCUAGGUUUGAAGAAUAUAAGAUAUUAUCGUCUCAUGAUCACUCGUGAUAAAAUCCAUGAAGUGAUUCCAAUGAGCGCGGGUUGAAUCCAAUACUCAGAACUUAUGAGCACUCAUGAGUGUUGUAGCCCUUUGUCCAACACCUUAGACCUCUACAAGCCAACCCAUGACAGUCUUAAUUCAUAUCUACUUCCAACAUAUGACCGACUGUGGAUGGUUUGAAUAACUUAGUCAUUCCGGAAGAAUAACCUAGUUUAUUCGGGAAGUCAAAACAUGCAAAGUGAAACACAAUAAUAAUUGAAUCCAAUAUGGUAUCAACCCUUUGAACAUAAAUAAAACACCUUUUAUUUAUCACCAUAUGAUUACACAUUAUUCAUUGUAUACUGUUUCAGCUAUCAACUUUAUUCUUGAAUUUAAAACAAUAGUUGUCCCAUGCUCCAAGCAUGUACACUAUGUUUUCUUAAACACUAGUCAUGCCACACACCAAGUAUGCAUACUAUGUUUGUCUAUGAUCUUUACUUUGUGAACUAGAUCAAUUGAACAUAACUUCAAUGAUUCUCUUUUCACACUCCCAAAUCCUUACUGCAAAUGCAAGAAUUCCAAAUUCAUGCCAUUUACUGAAAUCUGUUAGAUUCUAAACUUAUAUGCAUUGAUCCUCUUGUAAUGAUUAUGCACAAAGUCAGAAAGACUUGACAACAAUCAUUACAGAGUAUUCCAAAGGAGAUCAGCUCCUUGGAAACAUCCUUCUUGCAUUAAGUUUCCUAAUCUUAAACAGAUUGAAAAUUCUAACUUUGAAACAUUUCCAGAUUCCAUUUUGACUAUCACUUCUGAACAAGAGUUGCCUCCUUACAGAUUAUGUCAAUAUGGUCCUUCCAGAAUUAUCACUAUACUUCCAACUGUCCUUGAGCAACCAAUCUUUGGUAAACCUUAGAUUGUCCUCGACAAUUGUUUAAUCCUUUUAGUCAUAUCCAGUUCUAAACCUUUUCCCUUCUUAAUGCCCCAGGCAUUUGGAAAAUUUUAGAACGGAUGAAUAUAGCACAUGUAAUCGAUCCUAUAUCCGAAGCAUAUGGGACACGAUUCAUGAUGUCUCACAUAAAGACUAAACCAGUCUUUUGCUAUAAUAUUUCCAUUUCAAUUUGCCAAGUUCUCAUAAUUCAGAUUAUGAAAAGGGAUGCCGUAAUCAUAAUCGAAUUUUAGAACGCAAAUAAUGGACCCAUAUACAGAAUUUCCUUAUGUUGAGCCAUUCCAACAUGAAAUUCAUAUAUAUCCUUGACUAAAUGAUUAAAACCUCACGAUCUAAGCUUAUAGAUUUGAGAUGAAGUAUAAUUUCCUCUCCCUUAAUUAUAGCAAAACAACUUUUUCCCAAUUGAAACUUUUGUUUUCUAUAAUUAACAUUGCUAACUUGCAAUACUUAUCAUAAUUAUCAUGCUCCCACUAACAUGAUGAUUAUUAGCAUAACACUUAUGCUCCCACUAGCUUUGACAUGUACUCAGAAAUCAGCUGGACUUCUAGAAAUCAAUACUUCAUUGACUUUCUUACCAAAGUUCAGAUUUCUGAUACUAGAUUGUUUUGAUAAAACUUUAUCAAAAUCAUACACCUUCCCUUAGAUAGCACACUUGUGUAUCUAAACAAUUAUGAAGAGGGAUGCCGUAAUCAUAAUGUUUAGACCUUUUUGCCACUUCUCACAAGUCCAAAUUAGUGUGCCGGUUAACCACACGCGCUCCACUAACGACUUUGAGAAUGCAAAUAUCACAAUUGCUAUCUAGCUAAAAUCUACUUAGUGAAAGUGUUUCCUCACCAUCAUUUUCAUGAAUCGGAGAGAAACCUUAUGACACUUAGAUUUAAUGGUGUAUGUGUUCUUAUCCAUGUGAAUUGUCAAAACCAUAGUCACAAGACAAGGAUAAUGACAAAUCCAAACUCAUAUGGACUGAACUCAAUCUUAAUUUCUUGCCACCUGGCAGCUCAAGGGCCUGCCAUUGCUUCCAAGUUGUUGUGCAACAAAUUGAGAACUCUAAGAACUCAUAUGCAAAGCCAACUUUAACUGGAAUGGGCACAGAAUAUGUCAACACGAUAGGUUAUGAACCUCAAGUCGUGUGCUAGUGAAGAACUUCAGGUUUUAUUCUUGAUUAGUUCUUGAGACUUUCAAGACCUUUAAGACUCCCACUGUCCUCUUGACCUAUAAGACUCCCUUGUCAAACAUCCAAGAGAUAGUGUGGAUUCUAAUCAAGACAAACACUUCACACAAUUGGCCUAAGUUGGUCUUUGUUUUAUCCAAAACAUCACAACUUACCAAUUUCAAAUGUACAAGAGUAGAAAACUUUUACUCUUACAUUUGACAAGUGUUUUAAACCUUCUUUAAGACAUGUCACUCAAGUUACAAUCUUGGAGUAUGACUCUAAGACUUGUAUUGGAACGAAGUAUGACUCAUCUUCUUGAUUUAACCAUUUCAACAAUUCAAGUUCCUCUUCUUAGUCAUAAGAAUGCACUAAGAUUUCCUUAGAGAACUAAUUUUGAUAUGGUUUCUUAAUCAUUAAGAUGAUCACAAAACUGAUACUAAAGUACUCUCCCAUCUUUUCAGAUUUGAGAAACUUUUAUCCUUCUGCCUUAUUUGAUUCUUCUUAUCGAUCUUUAGUGGUGGACUUAAUCAGUGCACAAGAAUGUGUACUCGAUCCCUAAGUCCUUUACUUGACUCACACAUCCAUGUGAACAAGUAAUUAGUCUUAAUUUUCCAAAACUUGAAAGUUCUCAUUCAUCAUGCUAUACAACUUGCAUGAUUCCAAGUUCCGGUCCAAUUGAAACUUGGGUGAUGAGAAUCUUUCCUUAUUUGGUAAAUUUAGACAUUACCACAAAUGAAAGAAUCAAUUUCAUACUUCCACUCUUGCUACUAAUGGAAUCUUAUAAGCAACAAAAAUUUCCACAGAUGCCAUUGUAAGGAUAUUUUAAAAUAAAUAAAAUCAAAAAUUUCCUUUUAUUUUAAAACUUUGCGGAAAAACUAUCCUUACAAUCCAUAUGAAAACUUGUUGUUAUCUAUUCCUAAGCAAUAUCUCAUAACUCCUAAGAAGUAGCUCAAGAAUCCGAUUUUUCAAACUAUGCGAUAGAAAUCCAUCUAUGCGAUCAGAUUCAGCAUAUUCUUCCUUUAAGUUUCUUCACUUUCCUUUGAUUCUUAAACCAUCACCAUGCGACCCGGUCACAUCAUGUAUCAAGAAUCUCAGAAUAGAAACUUAACAGAGUUAGAUAGUGGAUUUUACCUGAAGUAGAGUCAAACUUAUUGACUUUAACAUCCUUAGGUAAAUUUGGCAGCUUCGCAACCAAUGCCCUUUCUUUGGCAAUACAAACAUAUGGACCCUUUGAUAAUGGUACACAGGACUAUCACAGACUUAGCUUUUCUCUUUACCAUUUGGUCAACCGAGUUGACUAUAGCCGAUCCCUUUCCAUUGGGAAGAGAAUGCUUUACUGGAUAUCCAAUGUCAUCAUUGUCAAUGUCCAUAAAGUUUUAGGAAGUUGAUCUUAACAAAUAGAUAAGAUCAUUAAGGGUCUUGUCAUAGUCUUUUUCAUAGGUGUUCCAAAAGAACUCACUAUGUGACUUAGAAAGUAGUUGAACCACCAACUUUCUCAAGACUUUGACACCCAACUCUCCCGGCUUGUCAAUAUGUGACUACAUCUCCAAGAUGUGACCACACCUAGACCUUGCCUUGCCAAAAGGGCCUGAGUGACCUUAAACUUUUCAAGAACUUGUGGGUUAGGGAGAAUAAUUUGAAGAGGUGAAGAAGUAUGAUAUCCAUGGGACAUCAUCUUCAUUAGGAAACCUUGUUUCAAGAGAUUUGGGAAGAUCAUAGGUGUCUAAACCAGACAUCUUUUGGGAGAUAUUCAAGAUAGUUGAUUUAAAGUCCUUAAUAUGACACCCAAUAUGAAAUAUUAAGGCUAGGACCCAACAAACUAUUUUAUAACUUAGAAGAGGUAUGCCGUAAUCCAAGCUAUAAAAUAUUUGAAGGUAGGUGAAUGACGAUUCACCAAUUUCCACCAAGAUAAACGAAAUGUAUUAUUAGGUUUUAAUUGGUUUUGAAACUCCUAGAUCUUUGAGAUUCAUUGAACUUUUCAAAGGCAUGUUUCAAUCUCGAGUGUGCCCUUCAGGUUUUGUGACUGGGAUGCCGAGGAUCACAAAACAAGGUGUGAAGUAACCAUGCAAAUCACUUGGUACCCUUAAUAAAUUACCCCUCAAUCGAUGUGCCGGUUAACCACACACGCUCCAUCGAUACUAUGAUAAAUAUUAAGUCACCCUUUACCUACCUUGUUAAGUCCAAGUUAGUGUGCCGGUUAACCACACACGCUCCACUAACGACUUAGACAAAGUGUAAAGUGUAAUUUCAUGGAUUAGCACCUUAUUCACAUUUUUCCUAAGUAACUAAGAUUGGGUAUUAUUAAGAGUUUAGUUACUUAGUAUUAUCAUUAAUACUUUUAAUGAAGGGAGAAUUCUAGUCCUGUCAAACCCGUUCGGCUAACGACCCUCCACCAGUCAAGCAAGCGGUGGGUGAGAGUGGACACCCAUUAAGUUGCCAUUUUAUAGGCAACAACCUUAUACCCACCUUAUAGACCGGCUUCGUGAAUGAGGCGUACUAGCGGUAAGACUGACUUUACUCUUAUACAUAUAUAUAUUAUUAACUUAUAAUAUUAUAAAGUAUAAGGGUUGAAUUUUAACUUUUAAAAUUCUAAGGGCUAACUUGGAAUUAAAGUAUUCAUAAGUGAAAACUUUACAAAUUCCAAAACUUGAGGGCAAGUUUUGAAACUAUUCAAAACUAAUUAAUUCCAUAACUUAUGUGUUUAAAGUAGUUUUAAUCCAAAAACUCUUCAAGUUCCAUAACUUGAGGACAAGUUAUGGAAGACUUUAAACUAAUAAAAGAAUUAACUUUUCUUUAUUUUAUAACUUAUGGAAUUAAUUAAGGUUACACUUUUUUUUUUUUUAUUUUAUUUUAUUAAAUGAAGAGACUCUUGGUCCUCCAUAACUUGAGGACAAGUUAUGGAGUCAUAAAACCAUUUAAUUAGAACUAGACUCUUCAUUUUUGUAACCUUUGCCAAUUUUUAUGAGUUUUAUGAUUCUUAAAUGUGACUUUUCAUAUAACUUGAGGACAAGUUACAAAAACACAUUUUAGAAUCAAUUCUUAGAUUAAUUUGGAUUAAAACCAACUAUCACAUAAUUUUAUUCAUUAAUCUAAAUUCACUCAUAAAACAAGGUAACACAAAAAACUUUUGGUGAUCCAUAACUUAUUCUUAAGUUAUGGAAUCCUUUAAAACAUUAACACCAAAUUUUGUAACUCCAAAAAAACUUUGAAUCAAUUUUUUUUUUAAAACCUUUUCAUAUCCAUAACUUAUGGAGGUUUCAAAAAAUAAAACUCUUUAGAUCAAACUUUUAAAACUAAUAAAAUAAUCAUAUUAUUUUAUCUUUUAUUAAAUUUGACCUAAUUCAACUCAUAAAGCAAAUUAUUCAAAUUUUACAAAUAAUUAGUUUUUCACAAGAACAAGUAAUUAUCUUAAAAUUUGACAAACUUCAUGUUUUUUUUUUUUUUUUUUUUCAACUUUGAAAAUAAAAUAUUUGCAUCAAUAUAACAGAAAACAACCCGAGGCUCUGAUACCACUGUUGGGUUUUGAGCAUUCUAACACUCCUAAGUGUACAUGCAACCCUAAAUACCUUGGAUCUAUGUUUUCUCUAUUAUACAUGCAAAUAAGAACAUCCAAGGUAUUAUCCAAAUCUAGCAUACAAAACAAUGACUAUAGCAAGAUAGAAUACAUACCUCUUUGGUGUAGAAAGUCUUCAUGAAGCUUCAGUGCCUAGUGCCCCAAGUGUGACACCUCAAAUGGUUCACACAACACCAGAUACAAAUGGAUUAACUUGAGAGAAUUCUACACUUCAUGAAAAUCGUCUAGCCCUUUCUUCCUCUCUCUAGUGGCCGAUUUUUCCCAAGAAUGUGAUCUUUAUAUAGUGUUACAAUUAGGGUAAACUCUUAAUUGUCAUGGCUUUCCAUUUCCUUGGAUCCAUGGGUUCAAAUACACCAUGGAGCAUCCAUGGACCAUCCUAUGGGUUUUAGCCCAACUUGAUUAUCCAUGGAGCAUUAGCCCACUAUACAAGUAUGGAUGAUUUACACAAUCAACCCAUAUAUUUAAUUAGUCUUCUUUUGAUCACUUAAUUAAUCCUAGAUUAAUUCUUGAUCAAUACUAAUUAAAUAAUCUCAUUAUUCUUAUUAUUAAUAUACUAGAACUUAUAAUAUAUUAAUAACCAUAAGUGUCUUAUUUCUCUCAUUUAGUCUAUCCAAGUGCAUGAUGCCAUGCAACCCAAAUGGACCAUGCCGGGUCGGGUCAAGUCUUACCAAUUAUAGUUAUGGACUUAGACAUUAAUCCAACAUAUCUAUGUUUCUAGAAAUUCAAACUCCUUGAACAUUCUCAUCGAAACAAAGAAUCCAAUUACUCCCACCAGCUUUGACAUAUGUAAGACUCAUAAUAAUUUCUCGAAAUUCAUACACUUUGAAAUUUCUCAUUGAAAUAAUGAUCCAUCUUGCGAGAUGCUUAUUUCGGUCCAUAAAUGAUCUUGUUAAGUUUACACAUCCUUCAAAACCUAUCUUGGUUUAAUUAUGUGUUUGUUACUAUCCAUGAUUGUCUCUACUUGAAGAUCCACUUGCACCUAAGGGUUAGGUCAAGUGCUAGAUCUACCAAAUAACAACAUACAUGGACUGAAUCUCGCUUUUCAAUUCCUCCUUCCAUGUUGUAGCCUUUAGGGCCUACCAUAGAUUCCGAUAGCUGGUACACUCUGAUUGCUAUCUACCACUGACUCACAUACCUUAGCAAUAUAAACUCUUAUAUAACUAGGUCCAUGACGUCUUCUAUCAGAUCUAUAAGGAAAAAUGGAAAUAUGUCAGUUUCCUUAAUAGCUUUUUCGAUUCCAAAUUGAAUGCUAUGUCUAACUUUAGGCUUUACGUUGGUUGGAUCUCCAAUCUUAUCAAGAUCAAUGUGGCUCCCAUUAGCCCUUUUGCAAAUCAGCUCCCUCUCUCGGAAGAUUGCCCUUCGAGCAACCUACACUUUGUUCUCAUAAGGAUUAUUAAACAAUUAUCCAAAAUGCUUGAUGGGUUCUCCAACGAGAUAACCCAUAUCUAUUUAAUGUCCUAGAUUGUCGAGCGCUUCAACGACGAGCGUAAGCCUCAUAAUCGUGGACUUAAAUAUAUGGAAGUGAGGAUAGAAUCCCACUUCACAUAUCAUAGAGUGUUUCAGGAAUCUACUUAGUUGGAACAAGACCAAAGGACUUUUAGUAACACUAUUCAUGGUACAAUCCACGAAUUGCUAGCAAACACAGUGCGACUCAUCUAGGAUAAAAUCAAUUCACGAUUUGUUUCUCUAUCCAACUAAAACUUCCUAGUGGCAGUGUUUUGGGAGGAGACAGAUCAUGAAACUCUUUCACAAUUACUUAGAUGAUCGAUAAAGUUUGGACUGAGAUUCUCACUAUGAGUGUCUCAUCCUAUUGCCCAAUUGAUUCUCAACUUCACUUAAUGAGAGCUUUGAACAACUGAAAGGUUUCAGACUCACAUUCAUAAAGCUUUGAACACCUGAAAGGUUCUAGACUCACAUUCAUACGAAGUUGGUCUCACCAUGUAUUGCGGUUAAUCUGAACGGUUCAUUAGUGUAAUCUAAUUCCAACAGAUACUCACAUCACCAAGUGAAACAUUCAUCGUCUAUCUUGAUAAACAAUAUUUGCAUUUAUCAUGAGACUCGAGGUCAAAUGUUAUCCAAAAUCCGAUCCAAGUGGAUACUUGGUAAUGCAUUUUUCGUUUAUGUAUCCAAGACUAUGAUUCCACAAAUACAUUUCACCCAAAACAUUGGAUGUAUUUGAAUCAGUACAUAUUGUGGUCAUUCAGAACGAACCAUUAGUUGAACUAACAUCAGCAUAUAUUCACAAUAAUACACCUUAUUUAAAUGUUCGAAUCAAUUUUGAACGAUUUCUACUAUAAUAACUUCAUAGAUUUCAUGACUUUCUUUUAAUAUGUUAGAAUGCUCCACAUUUAAAUAAGUCAGAACUAUCUCAUGAAUCGUAGUAUAAACAAUUUCAAUUAUAAUACCAUAGACUAAACAUUUUGACAAGAGUUGUCUUUUGAUCCUAUGAAUUUAGCAAGGGCUUGGCAUUCAUGAUCAAAUUACCUUCUCCAUGUUUUAGUCUUCUUAUUCAUUUUAGUAACUGCACAUUCUUGCAAAUGUCAGUACUAAUCCUUAGCAAAACACUCAAGGCUUAGAAGUAAUGUUUUGAUUGCAUUAUAAAUCCAUAUAUUUGAUUGAACACCAAACAUGGGAGAACUAGUUAUCUUUUGAUCCUAUGGAAAGUAGCACGGGCUCGUGAUCCACAAUCAAAUUUAACUUCUUCAUGUUCCAGUCCUUUCACCUCAAAUAUACAUUUGGGCAAGCUUGCUUUCUUAGUCCUUUUUCAUUUUAUGGAAACGAAUUGCUAUCAGAACAUGUCUCGGAAUAAGCCUUACUUUGUCUUAGGUAUUAGGGCCUAGAUUAGGUAUACUAAUCGCCUUUUAAACCAUCGGCAAUUGGCUUUCUUCUUGACACUUAUAUUCAUGAUAGUAAAAUAUGGGAGUGUUUUGAAAUAUGGGCUUCUAUGAUUGGCCAUGUUAGUUCCAAAAGGAAACCUCAACAUGCUACGCAACUCCUUAGUGGACAUUCCAAAUUGUUCACAUCAAAAUCAGAAUGAACUGAUCAUAUGUACAUGUUAGCUAGUCGACUAACCAUAGUCAACUCCUAACUCAAGAAAAUUCUAUUUUACUUUAAUAUGUCAACGUACAUUUGAUAAUUGCUCUUUCUAACAAUUUCGAAUGAAAUGUUUGAAGUAAUAUAGGAAGAGCUUUAACAAAGGCAUGAUCUUUCCUUUCGUUUCCCAAACUACAAAACUGACAAGAUUGAUUAUCCUCAUAGCUAAUCCUUUCAAUGGUUUUAUAGCAGUAGAUUUUAGUGGAUAAGGUUUUCGACAUCAUUCAAUAAAAUUCCAUUAUAGUUUGUUUUACAUAUCCUUAGAAACUAAUCACCCUGAAUUAUUUUAGAAGGCUAGGAUCCUUAUUUGGCACCAUGAUGUGUAAAGGGAUGCCGUAAACACAUCAUAAAGUUAUUUAGGUAGGCAAAGCCCUUUGCAAAUUUCGAUCACCACGAAAUUCCUAGAUCUUUAAGAUUCGUUGACUAUCAAUGACAUGUUAAUCUUGGAUUAUGUUCAUCUCAAAUUCAAUGACGAGGUCGCCGUGGAUCACUGAACAGAUAGCCAAUCAACCAUACAAAAUCGCACGGUCCCCGGCUCAAGUUAUGCUUAAGAUCCGCGAGUUCCACAUCAUUCUCUACCUAUACUCUCAAAUUGAUGUGUCGGUUAACCAUGUGAGCUCCAUCAACAAGUUAUAAAGAGAAUGUGAAACUUUUAUGGAUAACAUAAGAUUCACAUUAAAUAGAUUGAGAAUUAACCUUGCAAAAUCGCAUGUGUAACGACCGAAAAAUUUCAACCAAUUUAAUUUUUUCAAAAUAACCCGAUUCCAUUAAAAUUAUUACAAAAAGGUUUCAAUACAAUUUAUUUAAAGUAUUCCCAGAAUCACAUCUCGACCAAAAACAUGAGGAGCGGUACGAUCACGCCUUUGCCCUGCCACAGUCUCCUGAACAACCUGAAAAACAUAAAACCACAACUGUAAGCCCGAAAGCUUAGUGAGAUAUCCCCAAAAUACCAACCACAUAUACCAUACACGCAUAACAUGCCAUAUCAUAACAGAUCACAGAACAACCAUGCACUUCGGGUCUACUGUGUGACUGGUCCGCCGCACCGGCCAACAGUCCACCUGGUCCACCCUCCGAGUCUAGCCAUAUACCUCGAGUCUACAGUGUGAUUGGUCCGCCCGCACCGGGCCUUCAAUCCACCUGGUCCACUCUCCGAAUCUAACCACAUACAUCGAGUCUGCAGUGUGAUUGGUCCGCCCGCACCGGGCCUUCAAUCCACCUGGUCCACUCUCUGAGUCUACAGUAUGACUGGUCCGCCCGCACCGGGCCUUCAGUCGGCCUGGUCCACUCCCUGAGCCUCGGCACGUCUGGUCCGCCCUCUUGGGGCCUGCAGCCUAUCCGGACCGCUCGCUGGGCCUUCGGAACAACCGGUCCGCCCUAGGUAUCUUGGCGUACAGCACAAAGCAGGACCCGCCUCAACCCAUCUCCAGUCCAAACAACCAUGUGCACAUAAACAUACAAUCAUAUAACAGUUCACAGUCAACAAGCCGAUCAAACAGAUCACAUAGCAUAUCAACAUCCUAACCAGGAUACCGACCUAACCGGUCACUAGCAUAGCAGCACCCUACCUCUUAGGAUACCGAUCUCAAUCGAGUCUCUAACAUAUACCUUCCUAGCUACCAGGAUGCAAACAUAUCAAAGCCAUAACAUAGCAACAAAUACCCGGAUCUCAAUCCGAUAAGGGCCGGCCUUGGUGCCUUAGACCCUGUUGAUAUAGUGAGGAUAACUCACCUCGCGAAUGCCGAUACUCUGAACUGAAGAAGAAGAAUCUCGAAUCACCAACUCACCGCCAAUCCCGAACUAACCAUCAUAACAAAAUAAACAUUAGGGCAAGCAUACAUCCACUUAUCGGGCCAAGGCCAAAGUCAAAAUCUUAUACAAAGUCCAAUAUUGGCCCAAUUUACCAAAUUGGGCCUGGCUCAUCAAAUGGGCCUAGAUCCAAAGACCAUAACAAUAAUUGGGCCCAAAAUACUCUAUCCAUAAAUUCCCAGACUUGGCCCAAUAACCAACUGUCCACCAACGGCCCAAACUCAAAGCCUAAAAUGAAAGUCCAACAGGAGGAGUACGCUGGGCGUACCCUCCUUGGUACGCUGGGCGAAUAGAAAUGAAUACACGAAUGAGGAUCGGGGCUUUGGCCCGCUACGCGGGGCGUACUCUAAGGCUACGCGGGGCAUAACACUGAUGCUCAACAAAUCCACAUAAUGACUUAAUGGUUUAAGCUCGUAAGCCCAAACUCAAGAUCCUUCAGCCAAAAAUGAUUAGAACUCAUAAAAUCUCAGACUUUAUCACUUGGGACGUCCUUAAGCUCUUAAUACAAGGUCUUAAUCCAUUAAGACCUAUAUAUCUCACACAUGGAACAACUACAGCCCUUGGGACCUCAUAUUUCUCACUCAAGACCUCCNAAGACCUUUCCAAAGGUCUAAAAGGACAGCUACACUUGACCAAAUCGGACUAUGUAACAAGAUGAAUACUUUUGGGACAAGAAUGGGGAAAAAGCUUCAAAAUACAUAGAUCUACACAAUUUGAAGGUCAAGCAAGAAGCUUUAUACCUCAAACAAGCUCCAUAGGAUGGUAUCUCUUCAGAUCUACAAGCUCCAAUCGUUCCUCUUCUUCCUUGACAACUUCUCUUUUCUCCUUCAAGCCUUUCUUUUCCCAAAAUAAGCUUCCCAAGGUCAAACACACCCAAAUAAUGGAGGAAAUACAAGAUCUAGGGUUUUCUGAGGUUAAGGAUGAGCAUAACGAGGCUAAGGGGUGAACCAACAUGUUCCUUAUAUAGUGGCUGACCCUAAAUUAGGGUUUGGAGUUUCUGAGAGUACGCUGGGCGUACCUCCCUGGUACGCUGGGCGUACUCACCCGGCCACCCGCAACUUAUCGCUCCCUUACGCUGGGCGUACGUCCAGCUUAUGCUGGGCGUACCCAGCAAGACUUCACCAAUAAAUGCAUGCAUGCCAUGCAUGCAUGGGACCCUUUUCCACUUAUACCACCACGAGCUAUAAAGAAAGAUCAACUUCAAAACACCGCCACUCCUCUAAUCUAAACCCGCUCCCAAAUAACUUUACAUUCAUACGGGGUGACGAGAAGCCCAGUGCUUCUAACACAUACGCCAGCCCGAAAUCUUCUCGGAUGAAACUCAUUUCUCGCAAAAGGACCAGAAUUAACCUUCCUCUUAAAUCUCAGGGACUCAUAUUUAAACACUUAAAGAACGGGGUGUUACAAUUCUCCCCCACUUAAACUAGUCUUCAUCCUCGAAGCCUGCAGCAACUCUACUUUAGAAUUUCCCCGCAUUGCACCGCCUGACAUCCACCGAACCAGGUUAACCAAGACUCAACCAUCGAAAUCCGAAACCCAACUCUAUCUUCUUUGCUGACAGGAUGACACUACUUCAACCCUAGAGCAACUCCCAUGAGUUCUCGACCGCAAUCUCAUAACCGCACCAAACUGGUUCUAGUGUCCUCGGGUUAGAAAAACCCCGAUACACUGAUGACACUCCCAAACAUCCUUCCGGAUGAGCCUGCACCGGUCCUGCAGCAAGCUGUGGACAGUGGACCCUCAAAUGUCCAACCUGAUGACAAUGAUAACAAAUCCUCAAAUCCCGCAUCGGCGCUGACUGCCGACAAUCCCUCGCAUGGUGCCCUUCCUUUCCGCACUUGCGGCAUGCACCACCAGACCUACAAACUCCGGUGUGACCCCUCCCACACUUCCCACAAGCGUGGCUGAUCUGAUCUCCCACCCUAGAAUCAACGGUCUUGAACCGUUUCGGUGCCGGCUGCGACUACACCGGAGCCUGCCUCAGCUCACGCAACUGCAACUCAAUCUGUAUCUCACACCGCCUGGCGGCCUCCUGCAACUCCAACAGGGUCUUGCACCUCUGCGUAAACACAAACUGUCUGAUAUCCCUCUUGAGCAUGCUCAGAUAUCGGGACAUCUGAGCCUGCUCCGAAGCGAACUCAGGGCAGAACAUCACCCUCUCAGUAAACAUCCUGGUGAUCUCAGUCACCGACUCCAAACCCUGCUUCAGUUCCAGAAACUCCUGAGCCAAUCUCUCCCUAUCAACUCGCGGAACAUAACGAGUGCUANAUUAAUUAAGUGAUCAAAGGAUAACUAAUUAAAUAUAUCGGUUGAUUAUGUAAAUCAUUCAUAUCUUGUAUAGUGGGCUAAGAGGCUCCAUGGAUUAUCAAGUUGGGUUCUACCCAUAGGAUGCUCCAUGGAUGCUCCAUGGGAGUUACAAACCCAUGGGGUCAUGGAUAGAAGAGUCAUGACACAUUAGGGUUUACAUGGUGUAACCCUAGAUGUGUCAACACUAUAUAAGAUUCCCAUUCUCCACCAAAAUCGNUAAGAAACUAGAGGGCUUGGCCGAUUUUGAGAAGUGUGUGUUAUCUCAAGAGUUUUUCCAAGAGCAUUUGGAGUUGUGUGAAGCAUUUGAGGCAUCACACUUGGGGUGCUAGGCUCACAAGGUUUCAAGGAACAUAAGCAACAACAAGGUAAGUUAUUCUAUCUUUCAUUCAAGUUAGAAAUUGUUCUCCAUGUAUGCUAGAUAGAAAUAUAACCUUGGAAUUCAACUUUGCAUGAUAAUUAGACAAACAUAGAUCCAAGUUUAUUAGGGUUGCAUGUACACUUAGGAAGUGUUAGAAUGCUCAACCCUUCAGUGGUAUCAGAGACUAGGCUUGUUUGUUUGUUAUUUGUGCUUAAAAGUUGAAGAAAGUCGAAAAUUCUGCUGUCUGACUGAUGGACUCGGCGAGUCCAUGGGGAGGACUCGUCGAGUUCAUGUGUAUCUUCAACCUACUCGGCGAGUAGGUUUAUGC